AAAAUUAUAAUUAAACAAAGUAGUCAUUUUAUAUAGGUUUAAACGAUGCAUGAUGCACACCUGCCAGUAUUUUAAAACACAUGCAUAUAUCGCCAGGUAAACCCCGGCGGAUAGUGCAUAUACAAGCCAAUACAAAUAUACACAAUCGAAAAACUAGCACAAGAGAGGCAUGCCUGCAUGCAAACUCUCUAGAGGCCACAGUGAGAAAUUAAAUACGGCGCAAACCAAUAUACGAGUUGCCAUAUAUCGAACGACCGUCUAAUGGAUGAUUAAUUUAUGCACGCACACACAUAUAUCUAUGUUGUCUUGGAUCAUCAGUACUUCCACAUGUCAUCCAUACUCAUGUUCAUCGGCGAGGUCUUGCCAACUGCUGUUGCGGCGGCGUUCCCCUGGUAGUUGUUGCUCAGCCCGGUCACGGCAUUUUCCAGUGGCACCAUCGACGAUGGCCCACACCCAGGCUCAGCCCCGACCAUGAAACCCUGAUCUGCACCCACAUACAUCAUCAUCUGCUGAUGUUGUUGGUAGAACGACAAUGGUGGUGUUGGGUCUGAUAUCAUCUGCUGGUGGUGGUUCCUGACGUAGUGGUCAUUCAUAAUAGGAAGCACCACGCUACCCAUCAUGGAUGAGCCAGCACCGAUGUCGCGCAAUUGGUAUGGAGAAGUUGUAGGAAGCAACAUUGGAUUUGCGAGCGAUGACGACAUCUCAUAGCCCAUGAGAGGAGGCAAUGUAUCUAAGUCGGCGAACCCCUGCUGAUGUUCCGCUCCGAUGGACAUUGGCAUGGCAUAUGAAGGCAUCACCACCUUCUUCAGUCCGGCCCUCUUAUGGAAGAUCCUACAAACCACCCACUGUUCCUACAAGCAUACAUAAAUUAAAUAAGUGCAAAUCAACUAUGAUCAGUAGCAUGCCCCAGGUGUGACUCUUUUGUCACAGAUGCCGAUCACUUUGUCAUUCAUUGCUCACGUUCAGCACAUAUAUCCCAUAACUUGGGUAUUUUGGCGGCCCUGUCCAAGUGCCAAUCUCUGGAAAUGGGGACACAGUGACUCCCCUAGGCCUCGAUUCCAACAUUUGGCCUCUGUCGACCUUUCCAUCCUUUAGAAUACUAGAUGACUCGUUGCGCCAAAUGGCGCAAGGGGCGAGAGGGAGCUAAGUAUUGUGAGAAUAUUUAGACACGCAAGUCGAAAACCAAAUGUGACCAACACUCCCGCAUCCUCUGAUUGGAAGCCGCCUUUUCUCACCGGAUCUAACAUAGAUACAUGAUUCUUCAAGAGCAAAUUUCAGAGAAAAUAUAAAGCAUGGCCUUCAGAGUGAUUAUGCAAAAUAUAAACACAUAGCCAUCUUGAGAUCCACAACAAUGCACCAACGACUUUUUUCAAACCGCCAUAACUUUGCCGAUCAUCCUUGUUAGUCAUCCUGAGAAAGACCAUGCCUCCACAGUGCGUUGUACAAAUAUUCCAUGCUAUCAAAGGCACUUUAGAUCUAACAAAGAUUCAAAUGCCAAGCCUAACAAUGAAUAACAACAAACAACCACAUUCUAAAAUUUACUAAACUUGGAUAUGCACUUUGUUACUUCAUUUUAUAAACUGUUAUAAGCGUUAUAAUUUCUUUCAUUUAUCUGAUUUAGUUGUCCCAAACUCCCAAUACAUAUUUAAACCGUGUUGUGGGCUUUCAAGAAGACAAAUGACAGAUUCACAAUAAUGGGCUGGCCCAAGUUACUUAACCAGACGAUGUUAAUCCACUUACUCACUUCAUGACCAUCCCCUCCUUCUCCAAUCUCUCACUCACCCUGUAGUUUCCACCGCAUCGCCGCUGCUCCUCUGCAUCGGAGGCACGACUUCAAUUGCAAGAUCCACUCCCGCACUCACAAGAUCUACUUCCUCCGAUGUACGCAUCGCGUCACCAGGUCUCACCAGGUCAGGCUACCUCAACCACUUCCAAGUGAACCUUCACAAACAACACAGUAUUACGUCUAAAGGAUAGCAAGUAAAUCCGGAGUAUUACAGUUUUGAGCUAAUGUUUUUUUCCCUAGAGGCGGCAGUGUAAUUAUUAGCUGUCAUUAAAAUCAAUAUUGUCUCAUGAAAAUGCCUACCCUGUUGACCCGCUAAUGGCAAUUACAAAAAUGUUUGGUUCAUUACGCCUAAUUCAAAUUAGCUUCAAUGCCUCAUGUUUACUUCCAUAGCCUGAACUGAUAAAUCACUGAAAUUUCUUCUCUGCUAAACCUAUGUCUACUUCGUAAUCAACACCCGAGUAAUAACAUGGUAGAUCGUCAUACAUGUUUAUCUCCUGUUUUCUUGAUGUCUGAGUAACAGUAUAUGCAUGUGUCCUACAAGCUCAAUGCCCUACUAUUCUGGUUGAUAGCUGACUGUUGAGUCAUUGGCACUAAGGUUGCUAAUAGAAAGGCGCACUUACAGAGAGUCCAUGAACAAGAUAGCAAGAAGAAAACAUAACAUAAAAUAGAGAUGUAAUUCCCCUUUGUACUAUGAUGUAUAUGCUUGUUUAGGGCAAACCAUAUAUCUUCAGAAAUUUGUACCUUAUCAGCUAUUUGAUUUGGUUACCGCAGUUCGGUCUUUUCCCUCUUGUGAGUUCUGCACCAUCCUUACAUGAUUCAUCAACAACCACCUAGAAACGAUCAGCAGAAAAACAAAAUCAAAGUGAAAUCAAAUGGAAUCGCAUGUAGGUAGUAGCGAAGUACGAUAUAUGCCACUCCAUUGGCACUUUGCCUGUACACCAUGCAACAUCAAGUGAGGCAUGAUCAAUAAAUUGAUCAGAUACCAACAUCAUGUAUUAAGCACAAAUCAUGAAUCAAUACCAGAGGACCAAAUAGUGUUACCACCUCUGUACUAACAACCAAACAUUUUUUUAGAACAGGGAGGCUCUAACAACCAACAUUUUAGCAUGUCAUUUGUUUACCAAGCAAAACCACAAUAGCUAAAUCUCCCAAGAGCAUACUUUCGGAGAAGCACAGUCCAGAUCAUACACCCACAAAUAAAUGGCUUGGUUUUCAACUGGCAUAAUGAUUUCCUCCCUACCGCAAGCCUCUGCCUACAACUUUAAACUGAACCAUCAAGUUAGCAUGGCAUUUUUUAUAGAAGUAUUGCUAUAGCAGUCUAAUUUCCCAAGGGCAGGAGUCUAAUAUACUUUCAGAAUGUGCAGUUCAGAUCAUGCAGUUAGAAAUAAACUUUAUGGUAGUAACUGUACAGGACUUGCUAUUCAAUUAUCUUUUCUAGUACCCAUUUGGAACACGACACAAUGAUUAGCUCCUAUUAUGUAAGGUCACACUAUUUAAAUCGAGAAUUGCUCGCAUUUCAUUAUUUUUUUAGUUAUCCUAGUAGUGUUUACUUGCACAUCAGGAGUAUCACAGUUACAACUAAAGAGGCAUUGUCCUAUCAUAAUUUAAAUAUCAGAAGCUGACAGCAGUAAUGUAAAUACAUAUGGUCGAGACAUAAUUUUGUAGCAAAACAUGUCAGAGAGGCAAUAGAUUACAUGUGAAGGCACCCACACAAGAUUAUUACAAGAGCAGACACAAGGAUCAGAACACCAAGUAACAAUUAGAAUCUGUAUUGCGAGCUCCCUUCCCCCAUUCUAUUUUUGCUUGACAUUCAAACAUAGAACAAAGUAAUUCUUUUUAAUUUCCAAAGCACAUGUGAAUAUGACAAUACAGCUUGUCAAACCAGUACAUUGACUCAUAGCUCUGUGUCUAACAUUCAAAUCUAAAAUUAAGUAACUCUAUUUUGUUCUUAAUGAAAACAAAAAGGACCUCAGAAAGCCCAAGUAGCACCAAAAAAAAUAUAACACGGGAGAUUAAAAAAAACACUGAAGCAUCAGAGUAGGGAGUAAUUAUCAAAUAGAAACAAAAGGAAAAGAAAAGCAAGAAGCUCACUUCCCCCAUCUGUUUUUGUUUUCUUUCACUUAUAUACACCAGACCAAUAGACAAGCACUUUAACUAUAAAAAAACAUAAUUCCUAAUUCAAGAACACAGUUGAAUAUUGGAGCACAACAUACUACUCUUCGUAAAGUAAAACCAGGCAUGUGAAGUCUCAAUUGACGGACGCUGCUUAGGAAGGAUUCAAUUAUGCUAUUGUUAAGUAGGUACAUUACAAAGCCUGUUCAUGCUAACAGUAGUAGAUUCUUGUAAUCACACUUCAUGUUAUAUUUUCUAAAUAAAAUAAAUGAUCUCGCUAUAGCAGAAAACAUACAUGCAUAUAGCUGACUGAAUUACCUCGCAAAGCUUCUGUUCUUGCAUUUCUACAUUGCCCUUGGUGCUGAAAAUAUAUAAAACAUCAGGCUAAUGCUUAACAAGAUUUUGAUAGUUCAGGUGAUAGGAACUAUCUACACAAAUAUAGGAUUAUGCAUAUGGAUAGUUAGCAUGCAGUAGUCAGUUUCACAGGAUGUUGCUGAUGAGCAUCCUAUUGCUGCCCUUGUUCUCAUAUAUCGGAACGUACACAGAUCCACCAAGCAGAACCAUCAGCUUGCUGUCAUUCAUUCCUUGAGAUCCACAGCAACAUAAUUUGGCACACAUAUUGGGAUUACUAACAAGCUGACCUCCAGAUCCUUUCUGGAUGCACCAAUACUCAGAUUUUUUUUCUUAAAAGAAAAGAAUGAAAACUAAGAAUUCUUAGUGGGAACUACUAAUAUGAGAAGUUAUCUGAUACAUAACACAAUUACCACUCGAUAUAGGAUAAAUUGUUCCAUUGGGAGUAUCUUCUAGCUUUUUUACUUUCUUCUGAUCCAAAGUAGGCGCUAGGACAAAGUAAAUCUUUAAACACUUUUGUAGUGGAUUCAAAACAAUAAGAAGUCAUUUAACUGGCAGAACAUAGCAUUAUGAAAAUAUAUAGCAAAGUCAUUUUUGUGUAUGCUAGUUGCAACAUCGACACAACACAUAUUCUAGCAAAUAGACCUAUGUUCAACACAUUCUACCACAAAGUGCCUGUCCAAAGAUCCUACAUUUUGGUACAGAGGUUGUACGUCACAAACCAUCUAUCCUAUCAUCAGUGCAUGCAGUAUGCAGUACACCAUUUUCCAUAGCUGGAAAGAGACCAUACAUCAUAAUCUGGUCACAAUAUGUAGACAGAAGUGGUUAUCUGGACAAAAUAGGGAGGCACACCUUCACAAAACAGUUCUUAGUAAUUAUAGAAUUAACUGAAGUAAAAUCAAGCAUGUAUGUGUGCUCACUGAAAUGUGUAUGCACCAUUGCCGAUUGAAACAAGAUACACACAGCCGAUUGAUAACCGACAGUUGAAUUAUUGGCGCUCGAAUGUAUGUAUGUGUCCUUGCUCGCCUCUUGUAUGUAUAAAGGACCAAAAUGAUAGUUUGUGUAGUGUAGACCGCUCAAUCGUAAGCAUCUUGUGUGCACCUGAUACACAGUAUACAUAUGAUUAGUACAUUUUAUCAGCAAUAGAUGUGCACAUGAGCUGAAAACAACUUCGAAGACUGCAAGAGUAUAUAAAACCUGUAACUGGUAGCCACAAAAAGAAUUGUCUUUUCUACCGAACAGGCCAGUUCGCUAUGACCAGUUCACGCUCCACGAUUCAGACACUGGUGGAAAAACAGGCUUCCGUCCAGCCCCAUAAGUCGCGAAGCUGUAGGAACCGCGACUAAUGGGACCUUUAGUCGCGGUUCUGGAGGUGAACCGCGACCAAAGGCCUGGGCCCAGGGCGCUCGGUGGCCAGCUGGCGCACGUGAGGGUCUUUAGUCGCGGUUGGCCAGGACAACCGCGACUAAAGGCCUUCGGGCACCUUUAGUCACGGUUUGCUAGGCCAACCGCAACUAAAGCCCCUCCCCUAUAUAUACCCAUCCAGCAGCCAACACUUAGCCAUUUGGAGCCAUUCUCUUCACAAGUGGGUGUAGCUAGGUUUGCUUUUGGUUCCUCUUAUGCACAUAAGGUGUUUGAUGAAAUGCCCCAAGAGUAUGAAACAAACAUGACAUGAAGUGUUGGAGCCACACUCCUCGAUCGCGGUUAGCAACUUGAUGAACCUUUGAUGUGUCAUUGAUAAAAUAUGCAUGUGUGCAGUUCAUUGUUUAAUUUAUAUUGUUUGUAGCUAGUUAGUUUAACAAAUGCAUGAUGGUUAAUUAUAUAUUUUAUAUUAUAAUAAUGCAGAUGAAUCGGCAAUGGAUGUACGGUAACCGACUCUCCGGCGAGUUCACUACGGGUUUGAAAGAUUUCCUCGUAGUGGCUAAUGCGAACAAGCAGGGGGUUUUUGUUAUCUGUCCAUGUGUUAUCUGUAAGAAUCAGAAAGGUUACUCUUCCUCAAGAGAUGUUCACAUGCAUCUGCUUCGGCACGGUUUCAUGCCAAGCUAUAAUUGUUGGACCAAGCAUGGAGAAAGAGGGGUUAUAAUGGAAGAAGAUGAAGAAGGGGAUGAUUUCAUCGAUGAAAGCUAUCUUGCUCAUUUCGGUGAUACUUUCAUGGAGGAUGCUGAAGGUGAAGGGGAAGGUGAAGAAGAGGCACGUGAUGAUCCCGUUGAUGAUCUUGGUCGGACCAUUGCUGAUGCACGGAGACGUUGCGAAACUGAAAAGGAGAGGGAGAAUUUGGAUCGCAUGUUAGAGGAUCACAGAAAGGCGCUGUACCCCGGAUGCGAUGAUGGUCUGAAAAAGCUGGGCUGCACACUGGAUUUGCUGAAAUGGAAGGCAGAGGCAGGUGUAGCUGACUCGCCAUUUGAAAACUUGCUGAAAAUGUUGAAGAAUAUGUUUCCAAAGGAUAACGAGUUGCCCGCCAGUACGUACGAAGCAAAGAAGGUUGUCUGCCCUCUAGGUUUAGAGGUUCUGAAGAUACAUGCAUGCAUCAACGACUGCAUCCUCUACCGCGGUGAAUACGAGAAUUUGAAUGAAUGCCCGGUAUGCACUGCAUUGCGUUAUAAGAUCAGAGGCGAUGACCCUGGUGACGAUGUUGAGGGCCAGAAACCCAGGAAGAGGGUUCCCGCCAAGGUGAUGUGGUAUGCUCCUAUAAUACCACGGUUGAAACGUCUGUUCAGGAACAAAGAGCAUGCCAAGUUGUUGCGAUGGCACAAAGAGGACCGUAAGUCGGACGGGGAGUUGAGACACACCGCAGAUGGAACGCAAUGGAGAAAGAUCGACAGAUGGUUCAAAGAUUUUGCAGCUGACGCAAGGAACAUAAGAUUUGCUCUAAGUACAGAUGGCAUGAAUCCUUUUGGCGAGCAGAGCUCCAGCCAUAGCACCUGGCCCGUGACUCUAUGCAUCUACAACCUUCCUCCUUGGUUGUGCAUGAAGCGGAAGUUCAUUAUGAUGCCAGUGCUCAUCCAAGGUCCGAAGCAACCCGGCAACGACAUCGAUGUGUACCUAAGGCCAUUAGUUGAUGAACUUUUACAGCUGUGGGGUGGUGUCCGUGUGUGGGAUGAGCACAAACAAGAGGAAUUUGACCUACGAACGUUGCUUUUCGUAACCAUCAACGAUUGGCCUGCUCUUAGUAACCUUUCGGGACUGUCAAAUAAGGGAUACAAUGCAUGCACGCACUGCUUACAUGAGACUGAAAGUGUACAUUUGCCAAAUUGUAAGAAGAACGUGUACCUUGGGCAUCGUCGAUUUCUUCCGAAAAUUCAUCCAGUAAGAAAGAAAGGCAAGCAUUACAACGGCAAGGCAGAUCACCGGCCGAAGCCUGCGGAACGCACUGGUGCUGAGGUAUUUGAUAUGGUCAAGGAUUUGAAAGUCAUCUUUGGAAAGGGUCCUGGCGGACAAUCAGUUCCGAAGGGAGCUGACGGGCACGCAGCCAUGUGGAAGAAGAAAUCUAUAUUCUGGGAGCUAGAAUAUUGGAAAGUCCUAGAUGUCCGCUCUGCAAUCGACGUGAUGCACGUUACGAAGAAUAUUUGCGUGAACCUCCUAAGCUUCUUGGGCGUGUAUGGGAAGACAAAUGAUACAAAGGAAGCACGACAGGACCAGCAACGUUUGAAAGACCCUGAUGACCGGCAUCCGGAAUGGUUUCAAGGUCAUGCCAGCUACGCUCUGACCAAAGAAGAGAAGGUCAUCUUUUUUGAAUGCCUGAGCAGUAUGAAGGUCCCGUCUGGAUUCUCGUCCAAUAUAAAGGGAAUAAUAAACAUGGCGGAGAAAAAGUUCCAAAACCUGAAGUCUCACGACUGCCACGUGAUUAUGACGCAAUUGCUUCCGAUUGCUUUGAGGGGGCUCCUGCCGGAAAAUGUUCGAGUAGCCAUUGUGAAGCUAUGUGCAUUCCUCAAUGCAAUCUCUCAGAAGGUAAUCAAUCCAGAAGUUCUACCACGGUUACAGAACGAUGUGAUCCAAUGUCUUGUCAGUUUCGAGUUGGUGUUCCCGCCAUCCUUCUUCAAUAUUAUGACGCACCUCCUGGUUCACCUAGUCGAAGAGAUUUUCGUUCUCGGUCCUGUAUUUCUACACAAUAUGUUCCCCUUCGAGAGGUUCAUGGGAGUAUUAAAGAAAUAUGUUCGUAAACGUGCUAGGCCAGAAGGAAGCAUCGCCAAGGGCUAUGGAAAUGAGGAGGUAAUUGAGUUUUGUGUUGACUUUGUUCCUGACCUUAAGCCGAUUGGUCUUCCUCGAUCGCGGCACGAGGGGAGACUAAGUGGAAAAGGCACGAUCGGAAGGAAAUCAACGAUAUGUAUGGACGACCAUUCUCUGACUGAAGCACACCACACUGUACUGACCAAUUCCAGCUUGGUGGCUCCGUACUUUGAGAAACACAAGAAUAUUUUACGCUCGGACAACCCGGGGAAGCCUGAAUCCUGGAUUAGGAAGGCCCACAUGGAGACUUUCGGCAGUUGGUUGAGAAAACAUUUAAUGAAUGACAAUGAUGUUGUAGAUCAGCUGUACAUGUUGGCCAAGACACCAUCUUCGACUAUAACGACUUUCCAAGGGUACGAGAUAAAUGGGAAUACAUUUUACACGAUCGCCCAAGAUAAAAAGAGCACCAACCAAAACAGUGGUGUCCGCUUUGAUGCAGCAACCGAGAAUGGGCAAAAGGUCACAUAUUAUGGUUACAUAGAGGAGAUAUGGGAACUUGACUAUGGGACCCAAGGGCCAAAAGCUGGUGGUACGGGCAUGGGGGAACGCUGAACCCGGAGACAGGGGAGUGUGUUUACCGGGGCAAAUUAAUUAAACCCACCCAAGCCCUUAUUAACGCAAUGAGGGAUGCUCAACAGGGGAAGAUCAAGUUCAACAGAGAGAACGACGCGCUGACAAAAGCCCUCGGGAAUCCUGAACACGGAGGACGUGUACGAGGCAUGGGGCACAUUCCGUGGAAAAUAGGGUUCCCCCAGAACGAUGACCCAUACGGUUACAGAAGCCGUAAGAGAAAGAUGGAUCGGGAAGCAGAUGUUGUGGCGCGGUUGGCAUCGGAAAUGGAUGUGAUGAAGAAAACCAUGAGUGUACUAGUAGCCGAAAGAGAUGCAGCUCGGGUGCAGCAUGAAGAUCAUCCAGCGGAUCUCGGAAGCCAGCAGCGGAGAAGCAGCGUGGCUUCCACGGAGGCCCCACCGGCUGGUGCAGAUGCACCGACGAUCAAAAUUACUGCACCGGAGCCUCUGGUGGUCGAAAUUACUGCACCGGAGCCUCUGGUGGUCGAAAUUACUUCACCAGAGCCUCCUCGCUACCCCGUGGACGAUAUAAAGGAGAUGAAAGAAUGUCAUCUGUAUUAUCCUAUCGGGAACAUGUCCAUGAAGGUAGCCAUCGGCAGUGCUUUACCAUGUUUACCUGGAGCACUCCACCACAACAACCCCAUUCAAGAUGGCUAUGCUCGUGUCACGGUGGAGGACAUAGUCCAAGGGUUUGAGGACCUGGAGAUUGACAUUGCUACACCUGAAGGGGAGAAAAGACUUGGAGAUGUCAAGCGCCAUUUCAUUCUAUGGCAAAAGAAGUUUAUCAAGUUUCCAGGCGAGGCGCCAAGGACAACAAGUCCACCCCCCUACGGUGGUGGUGGUGGCGGUGGCGGCGGUGGUGGUGGUGGUGGUGGUGGCGGUUCACCUACACCUCCGUCACGUCAGCCGACGCCGCCCCCCAGUCCACAACGUCCGGCGGGUGAUCAGCCGCCGCCCCCCAGUCCUCGUCCGGCGGGUGAUCAGACGCCGCCCCCCAAUCCACCUCCGGCAAAGAAGCAGAAGCAGUCCUGGAUUAUUAACCCGGACCCUUAUGUACCUAAGACCACAAAGGUACCGGAGCCAUCACCGGAGCCUCUCCCCACAAGGCCUUGGGAACGUAGUGCCGAGGAAGUCGACGCGGCCGCGGCUGCUGAUUUGGAGAAAUGGAAGGCGGACUGCAAGAAGAAAAGAGAGCCCGAGCCCAAGCCAGUAUUUUCUGAUGAGCAAAAGAAGUGGGCUAAGUCAUUUUUGAGCACACCGUCCCAAGCCGCGAAGAAUCUGCCUAACGACUAUGCACGUGAACUUCGCAGGCAGGCACUCAUGUUCAAGGAGAACAAAGAGCGGGAGAAGGCCGAAAGUAAAAAAAGCGGGAAACAAGUUGCCCAGCUCGGGGAACAAAGUAAACAAUCGAUUGCCCCGCUUAUAGUGGAAGCCUUCUGUCCGGAUGCCCCCGAGAUCAUACAAGCUGCGGCAGCACAGGGAUUGACUGUAACGAGUGCCAGAGAACAAGCGGCCAACUUAGGUAUUACUCUUCGUGAACUGUUAGGCCUUGAUGAGGCGCCAGUGAAGGAGGUAGUAAUUACAUAUGUCAAGAAUGGGCCUCUCGUCGAGCCUGCGAAGGAAAAGGAUCUACCUCCACAAAUGAAAGGUCUGCUGAAAUGGUACAAGGGUUACAUAAAAAAUAAAAACGCCAAAGAAUAUAUUUAUGCGGAAGUUAGACAUGAGCAUCACUUCAAACAUUACUAUGUACAAAUUGAACUGAGUGAAUUGUUCCAGCUUUUCAAUCUGCGCGAGCUCGAUAAAUCUAUCAUCAGUUGCUACGUUCUGUAAGUGAUUUAUUAAUUUCUACCCCAUCUCGUUCAUAUUGCCUGCACUAUAUAUAUGUCCUAACUAUAUUGUUGUGUCCGCUAUUAUACAUGUAGAAUGAAGAUUAAGGAAUGCAGAGUAAGGAACAUCCAUGAUGUUGGGUUCAUUGACCCACACAUCGUUAAUGGACAUGUGUUGGAGCGUUACCCCGCCGACGUGGAGGCAGACCUGUGGCAGUUUCUUACAAAGCAGGAACUCAAAAGUGAUAUUAUAUUUCCUUACCAUUUUGAGUGAGUGUUUCUGUCUUGAGCACAUUCUCUUUUGUUUACUCCAUGCAUGGUAUGUGGCCGGCUAAUCGAUGAGUUAUGCAUGACGUACUGUGCAUGUAUCGUGUCCGCAGGUUCCACUGGAUUCUGCUAGUAAUUAAAGUUAACACCUCAGAAUGUCUCGUCCACGACUCUGUGAAUAUGGAUCCAAAGCUUUGGGGCGGCAUGAGAAGAAUGCUGCAGAAGUAAUUAUUUUCAUUCAUUUGCGCUCUAUAUCGAUCGGCCUAUUUCGUUCAUUUCCUAAUAUCAAGUAACUAAUUAAUAACUCUCUUGUUCAUUUAAUUUUCUUUGCCUCGUAGGGUUUGGAGACGGUUCGUAGAUACAAAGGUCGGUGAAUUCAAAAAAGAGCUAGAAUUCAAAAUGUUAAAGGCUAAGAAUGCUGGGGAUAUUCAGCCACCGGGGACCAAUCUAUGUGGAUACUAUGUCUGUGAGAUGAUCCGGAGAUACACCUCUGAGCGGGUUCCGAGUGAUACCAAUGCUCAGAGGAAUAACCUCCGGUGGAUGCUUAGUCCAGAAGCUCGCUUCCGACCACUUCAAGAGGAACUAGCUGGAUGGUUCAGCAGGGAAGUCCUCCAUCCUAAAGGAGAACACUAUUAUGAGGACGUAGAACUUUAUAUGCAUUAAAUCAUGUAUGGAAACUUGUUCAAAAUUGUAUAUGGUCAUCCGAUGAUAUUGAAUAUAUAUUGUAUAUUCCUCUUGAAUUCUUUUUGGUUCUAAUUUCAAAUUUAUUUGAAAUUGUACAUUCAUAUGCAUGUAUGUAGUACCGUAGAAUAUAUGAAACUCCUUCAAAAUUAAAAUAAAGCACAAAAGAAAUAAAACAAUACAAAUUAAACAGAAAACAGGUUUAAGGGGGGGGGGCUAAAACCCUAAACCUGCGGCGGCCUUUAGUCGCGGUUGGCCAGAAGAACCGCGACUAAAGGUCCUCCGCCCCGACGGCCACCUGGCGCCCACGUGGACGGGCCUUUAGUCGCGGUUCUUAAGCAACCGCGACUAAAGGGGGGGGCCUUUAGUCGCGCCCGUUCGGUCGCGGUUGUGCAACCGCGACUAAUGGCAGUUGCGAACCGCGACCAAAGGCCCUUUUUCCACCAGUGAGAUGUGCCCGCCGAGAAGCUGCAAACUCGUACCAAGAAAAAUGAUCACAGUUGCUAGAGCCGUAAGUAAACAAAGAACACUCUUAACAAAAUAGUGUACCAAAAUUUGCAAUAAAUCAAAUGUGGUCAACCAACCAGAGGGCGAUUUUAAUGGUAUAAACACGAUGUCAAGACUCAAGACUAACUAGGGGGAACAUGCGGCGUCAAUCGAGGUGACGAAUAAACAUCACCAGUUCAGUUAGCAUGAGACGUAGGUGUAGAGCACUCAUCUUGGCUGUUAAGAGACAACAAAAGAGAGAGGUUAACUAUAAGUCUAUCGAGUAGCAAUUGACAUUUUAGUUGAUAGCCAAGACUAAAUGGCCUACAUGAUCUCUCUACUACCCAAAAUCUUAAAUUAUCACCAAAUUAAUACUGUUAGCUAAGGAUGGAAAAGACUAAGCAGACAUUAAGCUACAGAAUCGUCUCCUGGAUUGUUAUGAGCAUAAGAACCUGCUUUCUUUGCGAUUUCAAAUCUGUUUUUUUGUUGUGGCAAUACAAUUCUAAGGCCGUAAAUAAAAAAUAGUAUACUAUUGUCUGGUCAAUUUAAGACCUAUACUGAAUAGGUUGAAGUUCUGUCCGUACUACAAAUCUCCAUUUUUUGGGAAGCAGCAAACUUGGAAUCGCCAAUGUAGAUUCAAACAGGAAGACAAUUGCAUAUUUGACUUUCAUAAAAGCACUUCCUUAUUUUGACCAUUUAUAUAUAUAUAUCAAGUAUAUACACCAUCGACUCAAUUGCGGUCUUCUUUAAUCUCUAACUGAACCAAAUAAUAAAAGCUUAAGCUUAAGCAUCCAAACACAGAAAAUGCAAAACGAAUCUCACAUAAAACUGGCCCAAGUCAGAUACAGGGGAAACCAAGGUGAGAUGAUCAUGUUUCUUAUAGGAAACAAUAACCAUAGGUAAAUACAUACAUUAUCCUCCUGUCAGAAGGUACUUAGUUGUACUUCAAGUGGUACUGGGACAUGAAACUAAGCCAUUGAAAUUUUUGAAACAGAAUAGAUGAUAACACCAGUGUAGGCCAUGAACAAAAAUACAAGGAAGAACAUAAUCAAGCAUAACCCACCUCGACCGAAGAAACGGUUGAUCAACAGCAGGAACCUGAACCUCGUGAUGCUAGACCAUAUAUCUAUGGUUACCCUUUUUAUUUCCCCCGCCUAACCAGAAGUAGUUAUCUGGACAAAAUAGGGAGGCACACUUCAACAAAUCAGUUCUUAGUAAUUAUAGAAUGCUCGUAUUAAAGGAAGUAAAAUCAAGCAUGUAUGUGCUCUAACUUUCAUAACUGCUACUAAACUCAGUAACUAACUUUACAUACCAAAGUGUACAAUUCUCAAGUCAUCUUAAGCCAACAAUGCCUUUUAGUAGAGACAUAUCCAUGAUAGAUGAGAAAUGCAAAUAAUUUUGUCACACAUCAUAGCUGAAAAGUUCUAUGCUACAAUUAAUAAGCAAAUCAACUUCCAAUAAGUAUGCAAAGAUGCAAUGGCCAGGAGCUAAUUUCAUUAAUAUUGUAAUAUACUUAUGUAAAGAAAGAACCUCAUCAACAUUGUAUUUUGAUUCCUGCAGUCGUUCACUCCAGAAAUUAAGGUCUCAGUGUGCUAGAUCAUUGGCUUCUGCAGAACCAAAAAUCUUUCACAAAGGCUUUUAGAUCUUCCAUAUCUGCAUUAAGAAAAGCAACAACUAAGACAUAUGUAUAUUUUAGCAUAGUUCCUAGCCUUCAUCGUAAAGACUAUGAGAAAAAUAAUUGAUGAAGGAGAUAUAAUGCUGAUGGAUAGGCCAAGCGACCAAGGCACGCCGGUUGCUUGUAUCCAGCCGCAGGCUGCCGAUCCAGCACACACGCCAACGACUGUGCGUGUGUCUGAUCCAGCGUUGUGCUUAUGUCAAAGGUCCGCCGGGCUGACCGGCGCUCCCCGCACCACAGGUACGCCCAAGAACCAUCUCAGCAUGACUAUCCAUUUCUAUUCCCAUGCUUGCUCAUGCGUGUGUCCGCUCAUACUUGUUAUGUGCAUAUAUGUUGGAUUGCUGUUGUUGGGCGCUGGGUGCUGGGCUGCUUAUGGUCUCAGUGGUGACCUUAUGGCUCGUGACGCCGCCAUUUCACAUCAUCAAUCCCCAACUCCAGGUCUGGAUUCCCACAACCUAUACCUCAUAUGGGUGAGUAACAAGAAUUACUCUUUGCAUAUGUAUACAACAAGAGGUGCUUUGACAGAUUCUGAAGCACACAUCCAUCGAUCUAUCCAUCCAUCCACAGAUCCAUCAAUUCCUAAAUCUAUACAUGAAAAAAAUAAGAACAGAGAGGGGGGCCGGUGCUCACCGUGGGUGGGGAGGAGGGGCCGAGGUGGAGCUGGAGCUGCAGCUGGUGCCUGGCUUCGAUGGCCAUCAGAGGAGGCGGCAGCGUAGGCGGAGACGGGCAAAGGUGCUGCCAACAGCGACCGCGGCCAUAGGUGGUGCCAGGCGGCGGCGGCCCUAGAGCUCGACCGGGGAGGGAGCACCAUUGGAGGAGGGGUGGGGGAGUUGGAGGAGGGGAGUGGGUGCAGCAGCUAGCCUCCGCACCCGGGGCGGACGAGAUGCGGGGGGUGGGAGGGGGGAGGGGCGGAGGAGGAGGGGGCGACAAUGGGAGGAGAAGGAGGAGGGGCGACGAGGACGGGGAAGGAGAAGAAGGAGGGGCGACGAGGAGGGGGAGGCGAGUGGGACGGGAGGCGGCGGCGGCGGCUAGGGCUUCUCCACGGGCGGGCUGUUUUUAUACCCAAAGGUGAAAAGACUAAAAUGCCCCUGGCGGGGCACGGAAUUUACAGGCGGUGGCAUGCUACUGUUCACAGUGAUUUAAAGGCGACGUGGCCACCUCCAUCCUGCCUAGCGGUUCUCCAGGGUUUAUAGGUUAAAUUUAGUACUCAUGAAACGCUACGACAUUCCAUUGCAGUAUUUACUCACCUCGGUCUACUAUCAAGAACAUUACUGAUGGUUUCUCUCUUUUUACCCAUACAUUCAAGUAACCUACUCAAAAGGAGGCCGCUAUGUCAUGGCCACUUUAUCCCCCCUCACGCAUCGGUGCAACCUUGUAAUUCUUGCCAUGUAUUGGCGACUUAGAGUAAUAUUCAAGUGGGGACCCCCCCCCUGAUUGUUCAAAAAAGGUGGCUAACUAGCUAAUGGCAUGUUAAUAAUUCAUGACUACUACUAUAUACUAUAAGUUUAUUAUAUACCUUGGAAGCCGCAUUGGUGAUGGUGACGGUGCGGGUUGCGGUGGACGGGUUGGAUGUGAGCUGCUUGUUUCUCUCAAGCCUAUACUCAUGCAUGAUCCAGUUGGUCUUCUCCCCCCUAGGCGCCCUGCCCUUGUAGAAGAUGAGCAUCUUCUUCAUGCCGAUGAGUGUGAGCGGUGGGUGGAAGAUCUCCUUGUCCUUUCCGGUGGCCUUCCAAUAGCCAGCAUUCGUCGCCCGGUUCGUUCGUAUCCUGGUGGGGUACUUGCGAUCCUUUCGGCAGUAAAAGUACCACUCCUUCUCCCCCAUCUUCGCCUUCUCCGGUAGCUCCCAUGGCUCGUACUUGUUGAGGUUCACAUCCUCAAUUGCCGCAGCGACGAAGGCUUCAUCGAGCACCUUGGGGACCACAUCGAAUUUUAUGAUCUCCUCAUCCGUCGGGUGGAACCUAAACCCCGGCGGUAGCUCCAACUUCUGUUGCUGAACUUGAAGGUGGUCUGUCAUGGUGGAGGCAUUCUCUGCAAUGGAUUCUAGGGUGAUGGCAAUAUUGGAGGCAAUCAUAAAUAUGUAAGUAACGAUGGAAGGAAUUUAAUAAGCUAAGGAUAUCCAUGGAGGCGCUUAAAUAGGAGUAAGUGCGUGUACUAGCAAGGCGCUUGCUAGAGAAGUCUCGAGAUUUUUUUUUCCUUUUUUAAAUUUUGUAUCUAGUGGCACUCACUAUGGAUGGAUAGAUAGAUAGAUUGCUUCCUCAUCUUUACAACUAUGCAUUGUUUGGCCUGUUGGAGGUGCCACACCCUUGUGGUGACAAGUAGCUAGGUUUCUCCAACCUCUCCAAGCCAUGACAUGCCAGAUUUAAUACUUGGUUUUGUUCUCAUUCUUUUUAAUGUUUGCAUAUGUGCUCUUCGUGCUACCCCUGAUCGUGCCAUAUGCAUGCUUUUGUUUCUGGUGUUUGGGUUUGUGAUGCAAGGCAAACAAACACUCACAUUUGUCUCGCCAGCUGGAUGUGCAUAUAUAUCACCAUCGCUCUUUUCUGUGAUAUUUGAUCUAGAUGUAUCUACCUAUAAAUACUACCACAUGUUUACACAAAAACUGGGUGCGUUUCUUAAGUCUACGGCCCCUAGAUUGAUUGGUACACCCAGCCAUAGUUCGCCAUUAAUUUCUAGCAAUACAUGGCAGGAUAAUUCUCAAUGCCGUGGUGCCUAUGGGUGUCGAACACAUCCAGGGUCACAUUGCUCCUGCAGGCACGCAUGUAGCGUGCGCGGCCCUGGCAGAUCUUUAUCUUAUGCUGCAUAAAACCAUGGCCUUUUGUAUCUGUUACCACCGGGAGAGGGGAAGAGUGCUUCAUGGAUACGCAUGAUUUGUCCGGAGAUAAUCAUCCAUUACAAGUUUUUUAUCUGCUUUCCAGGGUGUCUUGUACUGGUGUGUACACAAAUGCGUGCCACACAUCCCACAUACUUUGCCUUUUCUAGAAAACCUGGCGCGGGAUAUAUGGAUCAACCCUGCAAUCAAGGUGUACAUGACUAUGUGCUUAUCAACUGGAUGCUUGGCCACAUCCCAACCUUGCAUGCAUCUCCUCGUGCCCAGGCAGUUUCUAAAAUUAAUGAUCAAGAGACUUUUAUAUGGGUUAAAAUUUUGCAUCUAAAAGUAUCACGACCUUCUCAUCAGAAGCUCUGUAAGAAUAAGAAGGGAUUGCUUUUAGAAUGUUUGAUCAGGAAAGUAAAUAGUGAUGAUGUCAUUUUGGUAUUAUUUACUAUCGACUCCACAUUUCAUAAAAUUGUACCAUGUUUACUAAGCUCGGCUUCUGCUUGGGGACAAGUGAAGUCUAAGCUUCGGGGAGCUGAUACGUCCAUUUUCAUCACUAUUUCUUAUUAUAAUUUACUCUUUAUCAAUGAUAUUUUGCACAUUAAUGCGCAAUUCUAAUGCCUUUCCCCCUUCAAUCUGCAUGUAACACAUGCAGAGGGAAAUUCUUAGUAAUUCACCAGACAACUGAAAACAUGGUCCAAAUAAAGUACAGAAAAAGUAUUUUUUUUCAAGAGCUCCAAAAGGCCUGAAAAGUUUAUUGAUUUUUUCCUGAAGAAAUAGAGCCAUAGGCCAGAAGAUGGGAGGCAGAAAAAAAAUUAAGUUUAUUGAUCUUUAGUACUGACAAAAUCAAUUUGAAUAACCACACACACUCUUGUGCCUAUCGAUUUAGUUAUUUCGGAGGUAUCUUCAGAAAACGCGUUUGAGUUGCUCUGGAAAUUUUGCUCUAAGGAGACACACCCAUCACCAUAAGAUUGCUCAUAAACUACUACUUGUUGGGGAUAGGAGGAAGACAAAAGAUACUCGAUGUGCACCAGAUUCUAAAGCACUCUGUGAGUCAAAACAACGAGUUAAUAAAAAAGAAGAUAUAUUAGCGAUAAUUUGUCAAUUUGGCAUUUUUAUAAACAAGCAGGAUCAAUCAUCAGCAUUGUAUCAGUAGCAUCUCAAAUAUGUGAUGGACAAUAUCAACUCAUAACGAAAUACAUUGUAAGGACUAGGUAAGAACAAUGCAAAAACAGACGUAUAUUAAUGUGCUUUCGCUUAUUUUGGCUGCAACACAAGAAAUUAGACGACAUUUAUUAUUGAUGAGAUCACAUACGAUAUGAUGGCUCGUUAUCUCGAAGGCCUGAUGCGCAGGAGUGAUUCCACAUAUGGCACCGUGUAGUGGGCAACAAAGAGCGCACCAAUGUUGAUUUUUCUGCCGUUCCGGAGAUCAUACAGCAUGUCACGUGGCAUGUUGAUUAUUUCUUCAAGGGAUCCGUCACGGAGAUCACACCGGAGAAGGAUGCACGCAUCAACGGAGAUGAAUAUCUUGUCCCGGUCAGUCGAGGCGCAAGCAAAGGCAAGAAGCAUUCUUGGUAUCGGCAGGCAGACUCGGCGGCAUAGUGACCAAGCCAGAUUUGGUCCAUCCUCCGCCAACCAAAUGGAAAUGUCCCACGGUGAGGUAGAGUGGAUAUAGCAUAACUUUUCACCUAGCGCACAUAGUGAAUCGUUCCUGCCUAGAAUAUCGCUGCAUGGAGGGUUAGGGUGCACCGUAAAUGUUUCAUCAAGUAAACUGAAUCGAAGGAUGACGUUCGAGAUAACCUUUGCAGGUAGUAGCAUGGACUUGAGAGCACUCCAAAAGAAGGCCCCCGGGAGACAAAUCGGGGUCCUGGCCUUGAUAGGGUACGGCGGAUCCACGGUGGCCUUCCAUACCCAAGCUGCUUGUUCCUUGCCGACGUCGCCACCGAAUGUCAACAUCUCAUGUCCGCAGCUGUAUUCUCUACUCGUGGUGGUGGUGGUGCCUCCUUCUUCCACAUCCAUUUGUGGAAUAUCUCUGUAGGAGCGGAUGAAGUGCCUGGCCACCUUGUAGGUACCACUCCAGGGAUCAAAGCCAAAGGCCACCCUGUGUUCAUGGAGAAGGCUGGGGCUUCCAGGUGGCAACUCAACAAACUCUCCAGUGGCCGGGUUGCAGAUGAAAAUUGUCCCCAUUAAGGCAGGGAUCAAGAUGAGGCCGUCGCAGUGGAGAGGAAUGCUGAACGCCGGGAUCCCAUGCGGCUGAAACUCCUUUCGGACCAUCAGCUCGGCGCACUUGCUUUCGCCUGGCUGGAAGCUGAAGACGUUGAGGAAUCGAGAGGCCUGGUACUUGCGCGGCACCACGACCAUGGUCGACCUUGAGAGCUCCAGGUGCCUGCGGACGAAAGGGGUGCUGGUUAAUGUGGCGCGCCAUGACUUGCACACGGCUUGGAAGCGCAGGAGGGACUUGACCGGAAGAAGUACCAGUAUCUCGAAGAAGAUUAUUUCAUCGGGGAUGAAGCUGCUACUGCUACUGCCGGAGGGUAAAGGCAGUGCUGAUUCCGGCGACGACUUCCAGCCUCUCCGGCAGGGUCGUUUAGAAAUCGGGGGCUUCAUCAUAUCGUUAUCGCUAUUUCCAAUCAACAUGAAUCGACCGUGCCUGCGUUUUCGCUCGUACGUAGGCAUAUAUAUAUAUAUAUAAAUAGUGGUCAAAUAAGAGCGCCUAAUAAUUAAUAAUCCGACUCGACUUGGAAUUUUUAUCAGAAACAAAACCGGACUCCUAACAAGACAAAGCACAAACGAGUCGAUAUCGUAACGAAUAAGCACCUGGAAAAGAAAACCUUUUGCUUAGCUAAUUGGACUUGAAUAAAUGUAUCCUAGGAAAAAUAAUAAUUGAAAUUCAGUUUUGUCAAUUCUCUUCUAGAUGAGAAAUAAUGAUUUUUUUAACAUAGUAAAGACGCAUACGCUCAUACAUAGCCAUAUACACUCACCCCUAUGAACGCACGACGCAAUCCCUGUCCCUAUGAGCACAUUCGAGAGGCUGAGCCACCACAUCAUCUUUGAGAUUAAUGAAGUUAUCACUGCCGCCUCCAUAGUUAGACAGGAAUGCCUCCUCCCGCUGGACGAAUAUUGAAAGUCUUAAAUGAAGUUAUCACUGCCGACUCCAUAGUUAGACAGGAAUGCCUCCUCCCGCUGGACGAAUAUUGAAAGUCUCAAAUGAAGUUAUCACUGCCGCCUCCAUAGUUAGACAGGAAUACCAGUGCCAAGACCUUGGUGGGCUGGUUUCACCAUAAAAACCUAAUCAUCUGAUCUAGGCUCAGUUUGCCUAGAGCAUUGUUGGGUUUUUGUUUCUUUCCUAGGAGAUAAUCACCUUUGUGUGUGGGCUGUUGUAUCACCCCUGCGACAUGCAACUAAGCCCGACCUUUUUGUCCUAUCUGCAAAUCCACACUCGACACACAAUCGAGGCCUGAUUGUUUUUUUGCCUGUUCAAAUGCACCCUCGACACACAAUUUGGCGUCGAGGGUUUGUCCCAGUUGCAAGUGCACCCUCGACACACAACUUGCCCCAAUCCUUUGCCCUAGUUGCAACUUCAUCCUUGACACACAAUUGGACCUUGACCCUUCGUCACAGUUGCAAGUACAUACUUGACUUGCAACCGGCCCUUGACCCCCUUUGCCCCAGUUGCAAGUUCACCCUGAAAAUGCAACUGGCCCUCGAACCCUUUGUUCAAGUUGAAUAUCCACUCUCGACAUACAACUUUCCAGACCCUGAUCUAGUUGCACGUCCAUCCUCGAUAUAUAACUCGCCUUCUUGCCCCCGACACCUACGGAAUUGCAUGUCCACCUUCGAAAUGUAUAGUCGUUGGAACCAUUUCCAUGUCAGUUGCAUGUCCACCCUAGACCCCCCAACUCGACAAUUUCCGACCAAGUUGCAUGUGCACACUCGACACACAACUUUCCCGACCUUAUUGCAUAUGUCCACCCAUGACAAGCAACUCUCCUAACCCAGUUGUAUGUCGACCAUCAAUACGCAACUCGUCUCGACCUGAUCUAGUUGGAUGUCCAUCAUAGACACAUAACUUGCCCUGACCCCGACAUAAUACCAUGUCUACCCUCGACACCAAACUUGUCUAACCUAGUUGCAUGUACACACCUGACACACAACUCGCCCUGACUCAAUUUCAUGUCUACCCUCAGCUUUAAAUUUUCUUUCAUGAUUUUUCCCCCACCAUGCAAUUUUUUGUAUUUCAAAAAUGGUCACCAUGUUCUAAAAAAUUGUUUGUCGUGUAUUUAUUAAAUGUCCAUCAUAUAAUUUACCAUCUCAUUUGACCCAAAAAUUCAUUUAUGGUUCACAGUCAUGUCGCAUAACCAAGAUCUCACCUUAAUCCGGCCUCGUGGUGAUCCAAUCUUCCAAAAAAACUUCAACGAGAAACAAGGUGAGAUUUGGAAAAAUCUACGGGGAAGCGGAAGAGAGGAGAAAAUUGGUUGGGUGGAAAGGGGUGGAGGAGGAGGUGGUUCGGUGGGGAAGGAGNNNNNNNNNNNNNNNNNNNNNNNNNNNNNNNNNNNNNNNNNNNNNNNNNNNNNNNNNNNNNNNNNNNNNNNNNNNNNNNNNNNNNNNNNNNNNNNNNNNNNNNNNNNNNNNNNNNNNNNNNNNNNNNNNNNNNNNNNNNNNNNNNNNNNNNNNNNNNNNNNNNNNNNNNNNNNNNNNNNNNNNNNNNNNNNNNNNNNNNNNNNNNNNNNNNNNNNNNNNNNNNNNNNNNNNNNNNNNNNNNNNNNNNNNNNNNNNNNNNNNNNNNNNNNNNNNNNNNNNNNNNNNNNNNNNNNNNNNNNNNNNNNNNNNNNNNNNNNNNNNNNNNNNNNNNNNNNNNNNNNNNNNNNNNNNNNNNNNNNNNNNNNNNNNNNNNNNNNNNNNNNNNNNNNNNNNNNNNNNNNNNNNNNNNNNNNNNNNNNNNNNNNNNNNNNNNNNNNNNNNNNNNNNNNNNNNNNNNNNNNNNNNNNNNNNNNNNNNNNNNNNNNNNNNNNNAAGGGAGGAGGAGGAGCGGUGGUCGACAGAAAGCUCCAUGCCAUGACGGUCAUGGAAGAGGUGAGAUCUCACAUCAAUAGUUGGGAAGGAGAUGCGGCAGCGGGUACGCCGGUGCUGAUGUAGGAGGACGAGGAUGCCGGCUGACGGGAGUAGCUCACUUGGGUGCCAGUAUCGAUGGCCUCCCCUAGGUCGCCGCCUCCUAUUCCCAAUUUAGGCUUCAAUGAGGCCAAAUCAAAUCGAUCAAGUGAGAGACCUCUGAAAUUUUGGGACGGGUGUACAUAGCUUCAUGGGAACGCUGACGGGCGACGAGGAUUGCACGUCACAACUAAUAACUUAUAAGUAGGGGAUGAUACAAAAGGCCUACUAGUGUUAUGUUUUCCAUGUUUUAUGUGAUCUUAUUUUUUUGGUUGUUCUUCGCGUACACUUCCCCUUCAAACUUUUUCCAUGUUCAAUGCACACCAUUCAAAGUGCCAUGCUCUAAUUUGGCCACCUUUAGAGUUGGUUUGCUAUUUUUAAAGUAUUAGUUGAUUUUUUGGCCACUAAAAAGGGCAAAACGCUCUUCCAUUCAAAAAGACUUUCAAAUGAGCUCGAAAAUGGAUAAAACUUGGCAUGACCUCAUCAUAUGACCCCUAUAUGGUGUGAAUUGUUUUUGAGAUCGUUAUGGAAAAAACUUGAUGCACUUCGUGUACAAACUAAAUAGUCUCCGACGAAGUAUCUGAGUUUGGAAUGGAAACCAUCGCCUAGCACAUAAAACUCUAUUAUUUAAAUUUAUUGCCCUUCAAUCCUUUUCAAUGUUCAAUACACACCAAUCACAAUGUCGUGCUCAAAUUUGAACACCUAGUGAGUUGGUUUCUUUUUUAAGCAUUAAUUGAUUUACUGGCCACUAAAAGUCCAAAAUGCUCUUUUAUUCGAAAUAACAUGCAAAUCAGCUAUGAAGAGUUUGAAACUUGGCACGGGUUCAUGGUAUCGCCCCUAUAGGUUGUGGUACAAAUUUGAUAGCGCUACGCAAAAAACUAGAUGUACUUCAUGUAUAAACUAAACACUCUCCAGUGAACAGAAACAUCCGCCUUCCACAUUGAAAUCCAUUUUAAAAAAUAUUUACCUUUUUCUAUGUUGAAUAUACACUAUUGAAAGCGCAAUGCUGAAGCUUGAGGCUAGUCUAGGUUAAUGAACAUGAUAUAUUCAAGCACUUUCCAUACUUACAAGACUUGUGGCGGGCGCCAGCUGCUCCCUGCCACUGCUAACUUUAGAAUUUUUUGGAGAGUUUGGGCAUGGGUUAGCAAAGUAUUACCAUGGCAGGAAUUUAUCAUGGCCCUCCAUAGAUACGUUGAGAACCAAUGGCUGGCGUGUCACCUGGCCCGCCACAAUAUUGUUUCUAUCCCGUGGCUAAUUCCGUGAAAAUAUAGGAGUGGCGGUGACGAUUAUUGCCCGUCACUACCGAUCAUUUAGCAGUGGCCAGCCCUUUUUUCCACCCACCACUAGAAAUUCCCAAAAUAAUUGUGGCUGGUUCCUGUCCGUUCCCGCCACUAAUGUGACCCCAAGUAGAAGUUUUUUUCCUGUAGUGGCAUGGCAUGUGGGCCAGUAACUUAAAAAAGGAUUGGAAAAUACUACAACCUGAAAAUUUUAGGGGGUGUUUGUUACCAGGGACUUUUUGGUGUAGGGACUAGAAAAAGUCCCUCUUAGAGACUUUUUAACCAAACAUGAGGGACUACUAGGGACUAAAAGUUGCUUUUUGGGACUAAAUGAAGAAAACUCUCAAGGAGAGUCUUUUUUGGGACUUUUUAGGACUUUUCCAACAAUGCCCCUCCCUGCACCCAUCGCCCCGCCGCCCCAUGGUGUUGUUUGGUUGUUAUUUUUUGUAUACUAGGGGUAACAUGGUCAUUUAAUAACCUCUAGGGAGGGACUAGGGACUUUUUAGUCCUUGAAAACAAACAGGGAGGGACUUUUUAGGGACUAGGGACUUUUUAGUUUGGACUAGAAAAAGUCCUAGGACUUAUGAACCAAACAGGGCCUUAUUCUGAGAUGAGACCAGGCCUAUGUCACGUACUAUAUAUGCGAGUGGUUGGCGCAAGCGAGGCGGUUGGCCUUCGCCUAGUGCCUAGGCGGUGCUUAAGUACCCUAGGCAAGCCUAGGCGGUAAUAUAGUUUUGGCAAUCAGGGUGUAUCUGUGAUUAUUAUUUUGUGUAUGGAUAUUAUGGCAUACAUAUAAGUUAACUACCAGGUACUUUCAUUGGAAUAUGGCAUGUUUGGCAUAUCGGUGCAAUAUAGCAUAUCGGUGCAAUAUAAUUUAAUGGAAAACAAUUUAUAAUUAAACAAAGUAGCUUAUUCUAUAUGGGUUUAAAAGAUGCAUGAUGUACACACAUUUACAACACAUGCAUAUGUAGCUAGGUAUACCCCGGUGGGUAGUGCAGAUACAAGCCAAUACACAUAUACACAAUUGAAAAACUAGCACAAGAGUGGCAUGCCAAGCCAUGCCAUGAUUGCAAACUCUCUCAAGGUCACACUAACAAAUAAAAAUGCGGCACAAACCAAUAUACGGGUUGACAUAUAUCAACCGACCGUCUGAUGGAUGAUUAAUUUAUGCACGCACACACACAUAUAUAUGUUGUCUUGGGUUAUCUGAUCAUCAGUUCCGCCAAAUGUCAUCCAUACCCAUGUUCAUCGGCGAGGUCUCGCCAACUGCUGUGGCAGCGGUGUUCCCUGGGUAGUUGUUCCUCAGCCCGGCCACAGCAUCCUCCUGUGACAUCAUCGAUGCCAACCCACUCUCAGGCUGAGCCUCAACCAUAAGACCCUGAUCUGCACCCAUAUGCAUCAUCAUCUGUUGAUGUUGUUGUUGGUGCUGGUAGAGCGGCAGAGGCAGUGUUGGGUUGGCCAUCAUUUGGUGGUGGUGGUUAUUCCUGAUGUAGUGGUAAUUCAUCAUAGGAAGCGCCACACUGCCCAUCAUCGAUGAGCCAGCCCCAACAUCGUGCAACUGGUACGAAGAAGCUCCAGGAAACAGCGGUGCAUGCACACACGUUGACGACAUGUCAUAUUCCAUGAGAGGAGGCAAUGUAUCUAAGUCGACAAAGCCCUGUUGAUGUUCUGCUCCUGUGUACAUUGGCAUGUCAUAUGACAGCGUCACCAUCUUCUUUAGUCUGGUGCUCUUAUGGAAGAUCCUGCAAACCACCCACUGUUCCUACAAACAUACAUAAAUUAAAUAACUACAAAUCAACUGUGUUUUGUAGCAUGCCCCAGGUGUGACGCUAUUGUCGGAGAUGCUGAUCACUUUUUCAUUAGCUGCUCAUAUUUGGCACAUAUCUUGCAUAACUUGGGUAUUUAGGUGCCCCUGUACUAGUGCCCAUCUCAGGAAUUGGCAACAUAGUGACUCCGCUAAGACUCGACUCCAACUUUUGGACUCGGUCAACCUUUCCAUCCUUUGGAGCAUUUAAGACAUAUAUGAAACUCCAUUACAUUCCAUGGUUGCAUUUACUCAUCUUGGCCUACUAGUAUGAACAUUAUCUACGAUUUCUCUCUUUUGACCCAUACGUUCAGCGUACCUACUCAAAAGGAGGUCGCUGUGUCAUGGUGGAUGUACCUCCCCUCAUACAUCGGUGCAACCUUGUAAUUCUUUCCAUGUAUUGGCUACUGCGAGUAAUAUUCAGCUGGGGGUUCUCCCAUCGGAUUGUUCAAAAUAAGUAGCUAACUAGCUCCUAGCAUGUUGAUGAUUCAUGAGUACUACUCUAGUAUAAAUUUAUUAUAUACCUUGGAAGCCAUGUUGGUUCUGGUGACGGUGCGGGUGGUGGUGGAUGGGUUGGAUGUCAGCUUCUUGCUGCUCUCGAGCCUAUAUUCAUGCAUGAUCCAGUUGGUCUUCUCCCCCCUAGGCGCCCGACCCUUGUAGAAGACGAGCGUCUUCUUCAUGCCGAUGAGUGUGAAAGGUGGGUGGAAGAUCUCCUUGUCCUUUCCGGUGGCCUUCCAAUAGCCGGCCUCCGUCGCCCGGUUCGUUCGUAUCCCGGUGGGGUACUUGCGAUCCUUUCGGGAGUAAAAGUACCAUUCCUUCUCCCCCAUCUUCACUUUCUCUGGUAGCUCCCAUGGCUCGUACUUGUUGAGAUUCACAUCCUCAAUCGCCGCGGCAACAAAGGCUUCAUCGAGCACCUUGGGGACCACAUAGAAUUUGAUGAUCUCCUCAUCCGUCGGGUGGAACCUAAACCCCGGCGGUAGUACCAACUGUUUCUGUUGAACUUGAAGGUGGUCUGCCAUGGUGGAGGCUUUAUGUGCAAUGGAUUCUGGGGCGAUGGUAAUAUUGGACACAAUUUAUGAGUAUGGAAGAAAUUAAUGAGCUGGGGAUAUCCUUGGAGACGCUUAAAUAGGAGUUAAUGCGUGUAGUUGCAAGGCGCUUGCAAGAGAAGGCUCAACGUUUCCAGACCUUUAUUUAUUUUUGUAUCUAGUGGCACUGGCUAUGGAUGGAUAGAUAGAUAGAUACCUUCCCCAUCUUUACAACUGUGCGUUAUUUGUCGUGUUGGAGGAUCCACACACUUGUGGUGACAGGUAGAAAGGUUUCUCGAACCUAUCCAAGCGAUGACAUAACAGAUUACAUACGUUGUAUUCGUGUGCUAGCCCUUCUCGUGCCAUAUGCAUGCUUCUCUUGUUGGUGUUUUUGCCUUUGUGAUGCAAACCAAUCAAACACUCACAUUUGUCGCACUAGCUGGUUGCGGAUAUAUAGCAUUGCCCACUGUUUUCUGUGAUGAUUGAUAUAAAUGUAUCUACCUAUAAAUAUUGUAUAGCCCCUGCCACAGGUUUACACAAAAUCUAUGUGCUUUGUGGAAGUCUCUAGCCACUAGAUUGACCGGUACACCCAGCCACAGUUUGCUUAAUUGCUAAUCAUCCAUGUUGUAGUGCCUACGGAUGUCAGCCACAACUAGGGUCACAUUGCUCCUGCAGGCGCACAGCCGUGACCGAUCUCUACCUUCUGCUGCCUAAAACCAUGGCCUUUUGGAUCAAUUACCACUAGGAGAGGGGAAGGGCACUAGUUGUGGAUGAAUUCCCACAUGCAUAGAUGGGACCGAUAUGGUUCAUGCUUUACAUGCAUGCACACACAUACAUGCACUGUAUCUAUACAUACUCACAUCACUGGCAUUUGUCUACAGAUAAUCAUCCGUUGCAUGUCUUUUAUACGCUUUCCAGGGCGUCGUGUACCGGUGCACGCUGGAUAUGUGUGCCACGCAUCACAGCUUCCUCGCCUUUUAUAGAAAACAUAGUGCGGGAUAUAUGGAUCAACCCAACACUCAAGGUGUACACGAUUAUGUGCUUAUCAACUGCAUGCUUGUCCAUAUCCCAACCUUGCAUGCAUCUCCUCGUGGCCAGACUGUUUUUAAAAUUAUUUUAUACUAGUUGAAUGCCAAUGCAUUGUCAAGAAACAACGAAAAAAAAUUUAGAGAUACUUAUCAAACAAUUGUUAUAAUCUAAAAAUGCGUGUCAAACACGAUGACAUGAACUUUGGAUCUAUGAACUUUAUAAUAGCUAGCGGAUCUCGGAAGUUCAUAAGCACAUAUUGGGGUGACUGAUUAUCAUGCUAGCAAGUUCUAUAUGUUUAAUUCCAGUAAGCUUGCUGCCAUGGUUUCAAAUUUAAUUUUCAAUAAACAAGCCUGCUCAUAUUUGUGCCUAAUUUUGACCAUAAGUUCUACCAUGAAAAUAUAAGAUGUGUCACAUCAGUAUUUUCUCACUCGAAUUUUCCUUUCUUAGGAAAUGGUAAUUUUUUUGUAGUUGGCACAAUUGUUUUUUCAGCUUUAAUCUAUAAAUGUGUGACUGCCUACUUUUGCAUCUCUAAACAUGAAAUUGCACAUAAAAUUUGCAAUACGCAACCAAUGGAGUGACCAUGAGAGAAACUUAUAUACCUAAGAGAAUUAUCGCCACUACCUAAUUUGGCUUAGCAUGCAGCCUAUCCACAUCACCACAUAUGCCACCCCAUCAAUUUUUCCCUAUGUUUUCCUUUCCACUAAGAUAGCAGUUCUAUUUCCAAGCAUAAUAGUCGAUCGAUCGCAUGCCCUCCCUCAUUUGAAAUCGGUUCUAGUUCCACCCUCUAAAACAUAUGGCACACUAUCCCAGCUGCAUCGCCUGAUCUUACCACUAAAUUUUCUCUCCAGUUGACAGACCAAGGUCAAUACAUCUCAGCAUGCCACCUAAUCUUGAUUGAGUUGGAGUCACCGUAAUCGAGCUUGCACAUGCAAACUCAUUCCCAUGCUAAGAUGAGCCUUGAUGUUGCGCCGUCGUGCUGCGGCUGGACAGCAACACGUCGUGGUGCCCCGCAUCUGCUUUGCCCAGCUAGCUACCUCCCAUCAUCCACAUUAGUUUUGUCUAGCCGCGGUGCACCCUACACACCCCACCCCGCAUAAUUGCAGUACCACCAACGACUUUUUCUCUAGCAUGGAGCAAAUCGAUCUGGUUGCUAUGGCAAGGGUGGGAGAGGAUGGGCUCUUUGCCUCUAGGCUCUGCUUGCCUCUACUGAACUCUUUUCCAUGUCUGUUAAGUUCGGUCAAUUAGAAUAGAACGUCCUAGCAUCACAUGAAGCUUGUGGGGUUUCAUUGCCAUGUGCAGGCUUAACACAUGUAUCCCAUCGGCAAUGUAAAUGACAUCCUGUAAUGCAUGUCUUUUAGCUAAUUCUAUUUCCCUAAAUUCUUUUACAUCAUUGAAUCUAAAGGUCGUUGGUAUUACUGAUAUAUUCCACUUGAUUCGAACUACUAACAAGUUAACCACUAUAUAUGCGGAUUGCAUAAUCUUUCAUCCUGCAAUUCAUUUAGAUUUUUGAAUUGGACUUUUUUAUAUAAGAUUUGAUUUACACUUCUAGAAGCAGUCCAUCGGUCAAUCUCACUGAAUCCAUUAUACAUCGACCUACCAAUAUUAUGUUGAUUAAAUAUGGCGGAAUGGAUGAAGCAAAAGUAGUUAUUUAAGUUUGGAAAUGCAUCCCAGAUUACCCCUUCAAAGUCAGAAUCCUUGCCACAUCCAUGGUGAUGGGUCAUGCUAUUUUUAGGUUAUGCAACACGAUUUGGUUUUCUUUCCAUUUCCCUUAGACAAACAUUUGAUUGCUAACAUAUGUUUAUGUUUUUUAUGGAUUUUUAAAAAUAGUAUUGAUGUAUAAUUACAUGAUGCCUAACAAGGGAUUGCGAAAUUUUGCGUACGCUAUAAUUUGUUGGUAGCAUGAAUUUUGCCCCCCCCCCAAAAUUAAAACUUUCACUUUACUAUCUUCGUUGCAGGUUAUGCUACAUUACACUCAUCCAGAUGCAAUUCCUUUUCUCACAAUUUGGAACUAUGUUGUUCCCGACAACUGUUAGCAUAAAACCUUGCAAAAAAUAAAAUUGCAUCCAAUAGAUUACCGUAUGGAUGCUCUUCCCAAUAGGUCACCAUAUAACAAAAAAAGUUUUAAGGUAUAGCUAACUCAUUCUUGCUGCCGCCCAAGCUAUGCAUAUGAAUUGCACAUCUACAUUUGGUCCUGGUCUUGUCCCAACUAGUGUUGGUGAGUCACGUGAUGAAUAUCAAUUGCCCAGUGCAUCCACAAUGAUACUUUUGAUUCAUAUGGUUAUGCUUAGUUACAUUGACCUCUGUGCAUCUCCAUCAUUUCUAUUUGUAUGAUGCCAUGACACAUGUAAUUACAAAGUAGGGGAACAUUAGUAUCAUUACAUUUUUUUGAAAAAUUACUGAGCAUAAAUUAAUAAAUUAAUGGAAUGCAUGUACUGAUCUGCUUUGUUCCGGCAGAACCCAUUGGACUGUCUAUGGCAAUGUUCGACUUAAGUCCACAAGGUGAGUUUUACUACAUCUGAUUUUUAUUUUUCAUUUAACCCUAAUAGGAAUGAUGAGCUUUCUAGCACCAAGGCUACAUGAGAGAGGUCAUCAAGUGGAAUGGUUUUGACAUCAACUAACUAGAACACGGGUCAUUUCAUACACAUCUUCAUCUUCUUUGCUGGUAAAAGUAACAAGCUACCGAUGUCACCAUAUUGUGCUUAUGUUAGUACCGUUUCUAUUUGUACCUUUUUUUCACUAUUUUAUAUUGAGAUAUGAUUUGUAAGAUACUCAUUGCUUUAGUUUCCGCAUGUAUUUUGCUAUUUGUAGACCACUAUGUUGCACGCUUCCAUCCUGCAAAGUCUCUAGACCAUUAAUUACUACCUUAGAAGGCAAUUUUUUUACUAUGGCAGGCAAAUAUAUUUGUUCUUACGUACAAAUAUACCUUUGAGUAUGAGGAAGUGGUAUACUACAUCUUUCUAAGUGAUUACAAGUUACUAUACUUUUGGAUAUACACAUUGUUCUGCAAAACAUAAUAACAUUCUAACACCAUAAUUUUCCAUGCAUAUCAAAUUUUCUACAAUGCAAUUUCCACCUCAAUGUAUUGUUCCCAAGCUUGAGAAAAAAAAUUCUUCUGUAUGUAUUGUUCACGUUUGCGACAAGCUUGAACAACCCAAGAUAAGUUUCAUAAUGUCGUCCCAUCUGGAGAUCUUCGUUUCGUCCCAAUUUGUAUACCUUUCUAAUUCAUAUGCUUGAUCCUACCCCAUCCUAUGUUUUUUUUCAACUUAAGGAUGAUUUUUUGAAUUUAAAAAGUUUACUUCCAUGUAAAUUGACAAUCUAUGCAGUAGAAAUUCCUGCAACAACAUGUGGGGUCUCCUUCUAGUUAACCAAGUCUACUUGGACUUGUGAUUGAAACCAUAGCCAACACCUGCAACUACUUACAAUUUAUUAAGAUAAAAUCCAACCAUAGCAUUAAGAUCUAUGCCCCCCCCCAUUAUCCAUAUGUAUCAACUCCUAUAUUUAAGUAUGGUACUCCCUCCAUUUUUAUAUAUGAGGCCACAAACUCAUAUUACAGGUACCAAGGUAAAAUUUAAUGUGUGCUUUGCAAGUCAACUUUUCUUUUAGCUUACUGGGAUAACUAGCGGUGUGACCCGCGCAUUUUCGCGGCUAGAUUCAGCUAUUACAUAUUUCAUUAUGUCUUUUAUUACAUCAACAUCAUAUAGAUAGAAAAUAGCGGAACUAAAUUAUGCAUGAUAUCGCAUAUUCAAUACUUUUUAUUCAGUUAUUUUUGGCCAUUAGUACUUCUAAUUCAUUAUCGGUGAAGUUCCUUUAGUUUAUUGCUACACAACUGUCUCUUAUCAGAAAGUUCUACUAAGAACACUACUUUAUUGUUAAGUUCUGGUCUUUAACAAUGAAAGAUCAAGGGUUGAUGACACACUAUGCGAAACUAUAGCUUUUCUAACAAUUUGUUCAAUUCUGGUCUUUACCAUCAUUUUUUAAUAACUUCACCGAUUAUGAGUUAAAACUAUUCGCGGCACCUCUCUCUCUCUAUAUAUAUAUAUAUAUAAGUACAUACUUGGUGUUAAUCUACUUGGUCCACUUGUCAUAAAAAUUACUAAAAUAUUUUUAUUUUGCUCACUUGGGCAAUCUCAUCAUAACAUGUUUCUCUUUCUGAAUGUGUCCAUAUUUUUUAGCGGAGGAAGCCCUUAUGACGAGUUAUUUAAAUAAUAACAACCCAACUUUACAUCCACGAGGACAUAAACCCACGUAGUGUGGUUGUGCAUCCAUUUCUCCAACCAUGUGUGCUUACUCACAUCUUGACCGUUCACAUGUUUUUUCUAUAUUGACUUGUGUAUCAUUUAUUUCUUUUAGAUGACUUGUUGCUUAAGAAUUUAUUGUCCAAGUGACAAUAUUUAUACAACAUAUACUCACUUAAAAAAUAUCACAGUGAUAUAGCAUUUGUUUUACCUUGCCUUGAAAAUUUCUUGUCCUAGAUUUGUACAUUCAUAUAUUAUUGAACUCUCACGAUUAUCACUCUUCUCCAUCUUUUCUACCCGGCGUGGACACGCCAAGUGAUCUCUGCUGCAUGAAUCCAUGGGCUCGUUGUUAUGUGUCAUCAACCAGUUUCAUACUACUGAAUAUAUGCACGAUGAUACUAUUAGAGCAAACUACAUUUUAAAGUAACACAUGGACGUUGAUGCAUCUCAGUUAGAGGCAUGUUAGUUAACACUGGUUCCCCAUCACUACAUAUUCAAUUCUAUAACAAUGAAUCAAAGUGCACUUUUCUUCUUUUUAUUAAAAAACUAUAAACAUGAUAUUAUAAACUUAAUUAGCUAUUUUUUUACGCCACAGGAGUACGUAUAAAAAUAGUUAUAUUCCUCUAUUUAUUGUACAUAUGGAUAUAUAAAAUAGAUUUCUCUUAAAUAUAAUUUGUAAUUAAUGUAUGAAGAUAAUCCCUAAAUGUAUUUUUUAUGUACUAUGCGCAAAGAUAAAUUUGUGCCUAAAGCAGAGUUGUAUUAUUUCUGAUUUACAGAUUUGCAAAAUAAUCAAGAUAUAACAUAUUGCUCAAUUAUCAAUAGGUUUUCUCAGUUAUAUCUAAUGGAUAAAUUCAUAUAUUUUUGUCCAUGGCUAUUUUUUAAUCUUUAUUAUUUGGUGUAGCUACAUCCUCGCCUCAAGGCCAGUGGGCUGAAAGGGGAGAUAUCUUGAAGGCAUGGGUGGAGCGUCGUGUGCUCCCACUGCAAGCAUGGUCGACCCUGAUUUAUGAGUAUACAGGGCCAGAGCGCAGAUGUAGCAGCAAGCAGGGAUUCUCUUUUGAGAGGAGAGCUCAGAGGCGGAGUGAUAUGUGUCCAACGUGUCUAUAAUUUAUGAAAUAUUCAUGCCAUGUUUACAAUAGUUUUAUAUGGUUUUGGUGCACUUCUAUACUAUUAUUUUGAUGGACUAACUUAUUAAUCUAGUGCCCAUUGUCAGUUCCUGUUUUUUUUGCAUGUUUUUUAUUUCAUAGAAAAAACAUGCCAAACGAAGUCCAAAUGCUAUAAAAUUUACGGAGAUUUUUUUGAAGUGCAUAUAUAUGUGUGUGUGUGUGUGUGUGUGUGAUUUUUGGAAAAAAAAAUCAACGCAAGACGGUACCCAAGAGCCCCACAAGACAACAGGGUGCCCCUACCCCCCUAGGCGCACCCUGAUGUCUUGUGGGCACAUCAUAGGUUGGUUGGAGCCCUUCUUUUGCCGCAUGAAAGAUAACUUCUGGAUAAAAAUCUCCUCAAAAUUUCAGCCCAAUUGGAGUUACAAAUCUUCGGGAAUAUAAGAAAUGGUGAAUGGCUGCGAAAACAGUCGCGGAAAACAAAAGACAACAGAGAUCCAAUGUAGGGCAGAGCUCCCUUUCUCAUCAGAGGGACAAGGAAGAAGGAGUGGGCUUCCCUCUCUCCUCCGGUGGCGAUGGGACGCCGCCGAGGACAUCUCCUCCAUCAGCAUCACCACCAACUUAUUCUCCGUUCUCAUGGUGAUGUGUGAGUAGUUCAUCCUCGAGGCUGAGGGUAUGUACUGCUACUUCUUGAGUUUGCGUUGGUUUUUCCCUUGAAGAGGAAAGGGUGAUGCGGCAAAGUAGAGUAAGUAUUUCCCUCAGUUUUGAGAACCAAGGUAUCAAUCUAGUAGGAGACAACGCACAAGCCACCGAAUAUCUGCACAAACAAACACCAACUUGCACCCAACGCGAUAAAGGGGUUGUCAAUCCCUUCACGGUUACUUGCAAAGUGAGAUCUGAUAGAGAUAGAUAAAUGGUAAAGUAAAUAUUUCUGAUAUUUUUGGUUUAUAGAUCGGAAAGUAAAAUACUGCAAAGAAAGUAAAUAGGAAACUGAUAUUGUAGAUCGGAAAAUUAUAUGAUGGAAAUUAGACCCGGGGGCUAUAGGUUUCAUUAGAGGCUUCUCUCAAGAUAGAAAAUAUUGUGAUGGAUGAACAAAUUACUGCCAAGCAAUUGAUUGAAAAGUGCAAAUUUAUGAUGAUAUCUAAGGCAAUGAUCAUGAAUAUAGGGAUCACGUCCGUGUCAAGUAGACCGACUCCUGCCUGCAUCUACUACUAUUACUCCACACAUCGACCGCUAUCCAGUAUGCAUCUAGAGUAUUAAGUUCAUAAAGAACGGAGUAACGCAUUAAGCAAGAUGACAUGAUGUAGAGGAAUAAACUCAAGCAAUAUGAUGAAACCUCAUCUUUUUAUCCUCGAUGGCAACAAUAUAAUACGUGCCUUGCUGCCUCUACUGUCACUGGGAAAGGACACCACAAGAUUAAACCCAAAGCUAAGCACUUCUCCCAUUGCAAGAAAAACCAAUCUAGUUGACCAAACCAAAUUGAUAGUUCGAAGAGACUUACAAAGAUACCAAAUCAUGCAUAAAAGAAUUCAGAGAAGAUUCAAAUAAUAUUCAUAGAUAAGCUGAUCAUAAAUCCACAAUUCAUCGGAUCUCAGCAAACACACCGCAAAAAAGUAUUACAUUGAAUAGAUCUCCAAGAACAUCAAGGAGAACAUGGUAUUGAGAAUCGAAGAGAGAGAAGAAGCCAUCUAGCUACUAGCUAUGGACCCGUAGGUCUGUGGUAAACUACUCACGCUUUAUUGAAAGGGCAAUAGAGUUGAUGUAGAAGCCCUCCGUGAUCGAAUCCCCCUCUGGUAGGACGCCAGAAAAGGCCCCUAGAUGGGAUCUCACAGGUACAGAGGGUUGCGAUGAUGGAAAAGUGUUUUCGUGGGUGCCUAUGGUGGUUUGGGCAUAUAAGAGUAUAUAUAGGCGAAAGAAUUAGGUUAGGAGGAGCACGAGGGGCCCACAAGGGUGGGGGCGCGCCCUACCCCCCUGGGCACUCCCUCCGUCCUAGUGGCUGCCUUGUGGCUCCUCCGACUUCAUCUCCAGGUCUCCUGGUUUCCUUCUGGUCCAAGAAAAAUCAUCAUGAAAGUUUUAUUCCGUUUGGACUCCGUUUGGUAUUCCUUUUCUGCAAAACUCAAAAACAAGGAAAAAACAGGAACUAGCACUGGGCUCUAGGUUAAUAGGUUAGUCCUAAAAAUAAUAUAAAAUAGCAUAUUAAUGCAUAUAAAACAUCCAAAACAGAUAAUAUAUAAUAGCAUGGAACAAUCAAAAAUUAUAGAUACUGUAACAUCCCAAAAUUCUAAAUUUUGGAAUGUUAUAUUAAAUAAAUAGUUUUGAUUGUUUGUUUGAUUGUGGUGUGGUUGUUUGUGUGAAAUUGAGUGAAAUGUGAAUCUUUUUGAAAGUUAAAUGAACUAGAGUCGUCAACCCGUGCAUUCGCACGGGCUAGUCAAUAAGUUUGAUGCAUUUGUUUUGGCAUAAAUAAUAACUAUCAUGGAAGGAAAAAAGUGAAACACCCAUCCAUCCACUUCACCCUGAAGCACAUGUACGGUGUCUCAAUUUUUUAUUUUUUAUUAGUUCAAUUCUAAGUUUCAAAAUAUGAUUAGAAGAAUGUCUUAUAACUCUUAGGAUUUUAUUUUGUUUUUCUUUAAUUAACCUCUUGCUUCUUUGUAUACCAUAUAUGUGCCCGACAAAAUAAUUAUAAUUUAUUUUUGUGAUGCUUAUGUUUUUUUCAGUGUCAAAGUCAUGACAUACUAUAGAAAUUUGAAGCAAGUCAAUAUGGAGACAAAAGAAGAGAAGAUUUAUUGGAAAUAUAUAUGAGGAUAUCUAAUUUGGUUAAUCCAUGACAUUGUUUCCCAUUGGACCCUAGAAGCAUGACAUAUUGCAUUUAUGCAUUUCUAAGGAUAUAAUAAGCGUGUCAGCUAAAUUAAGUGGAUACAUUUAAUCAUUUAUAUGUUUAAUUAGCAGUGAGUAUAUUAUAUCAAAAUUAUUAUUUAGCUGGAUUACAUGUGUAAAAGUAAAUUUGGUUUCUUAGGGCAGAAGUAGAUUAACUCGUAAUAGAAAAACAAAAUCAUAAGAUUCUCCGUCGUGUUUGGUGAAUUUUUUUAACUUUUAUUGUGUCUAAGUUAAUAAUGAGUUAGAAGGAUAUAAAUAGGUUCAUAUUGGAGGGAAUUGGGGGUUGGGUAUUAUGUCAUCUAACCAUUUGGUACUUUGGUGAGCUGCCACUAAGAAGAACAAAGCUUUAGGGGCCACUUUAAUGGGUUCAUGGUAUGAACAUGGAUUUACUGUAGAAAAGUGGUCUACUUAUUGGUAAGAAAGAAUGUCAACUACUUGUUAGCCAAGUAGUUAUACUACGCAAAAUGUUGUUUCACAUAUAUCUAUAUAUGAAUUAUAUCAUUGUUCUAGUUACCACAUAAUUUAUUUAGUACACAAAAAGGGUAUUUCAUAUGAUGUUUUCUGAACUGUGAGUUGUAGUUGCGUAAGAUGUUCACAGGCGUACCUGAAAGUCAAAUACUGCUUGUGGAUGAAUGUAAUAUAUAUGUGCAUUUAUAACUUCAUAUAGGCUCGGAAUGCUUUAUAUCGUGUACUCCCUCCGUAAACUAAUAUAAGAGCGUUUAGAUCACUACUUUAGUAAUCUAAAUGCUCUUAUAUUAGUUUACAGAGGGAGUAACAAUUUGAGCUAAAGAGCGCUAUGGUGUUGAUAGUCAUCCUUGUCGAUACCCUUGGAUUUCCGUUACUUAGUUCAUGAUGAGUGUACACUUCCUGUGCUAAAAAUUCUCUCCUCAUAGUUAAUUUCACAUACUUGAUUAGCUUCGUUCCUACAUACUAUUCCAGUAGUCAUGUGGGCAUCCUUCCAACCCCUAGGCACCAAAGAGCCAUGUGUCCUUGCCAUGAAUGUGCUGCAGCAAAACACAAUGCAUGUGAAGUCGAUACAUGAAGAGCUUCAAUUUUGCCACAUGUACUAACAUAAAAAGGUAAAUUAUAGAUCAACCCUCAAUAGAAAAAGGAAAUUAUAUAUAAAACCUAUUAAACAUAGGUGUUAAUGUUGUCAUUGUAACCUGGUCUCCAUGCAUCAACCGAUGGUAGCACAUGCCUUUAAUGUGUUUGUAUCGAGAGUACAGAUUAAAGACCUACUGAUCACCGAGCUAAUUUAAAAUUAUCUUUAAGGUGAAGGUGGUGGUGCCUAGCCUCCAUGGAUCACCGAUGGAAAUGUCUAGCUGAAGCAUUCGGUGCCUGCAUGUUGAAAGAUUUCUUUAUACUCCAAGUGACACACGCUUGACCUAAUAUAUUAAAGAUAAAACAUGAAAUCUCACACCUGCUUCGAUAACAGUACUUUAUUUGGUAUAUGUAGUAAUUCGAUCUUCUCCAGCCCUUAUUUAUUUGGUAACAUGGCUUACUCUAAAAGGCUUAAUUGUAUUUUUCAUCACAAAAAUAUUAUCUUUCUUGUUUCAGUAACAGUGCAAACAAAAACUUUGUGUGCUUGCCAACUCCACCGUCUACUACUCAGUCACAUUAAUCUAUGAUGAUAUUGGGCAAAAAGUAGAAACCUGAAUUUCUUUUUGAGCUCGGCUAAAAAAAUAAAGAAAAGGUGUUUUCAGUUCCAUAAAAACUGUACAUUUAGACGUGUACUCCGUAACUUUAAAGUUUAUUAGAAUUUAUUUUGUAUGUUACACUGAAAUGUUAAUUAAAUAUUUUUUUGGUCCUAUAUAUAUACGUAAUGGACAUUUACAUGUAGGAAAAAAUCAGGAUUUUCCAGCACUUUAGAGUGAUUUGAUUUAUUUAUUUUUUUGGAAAUUUUUGCCUAUUUGUAGCUUGGUAUCAAAAUGUUCGCACUCUCGACAGCAAUUAACCACACAAUUAUCUUCGAAAAAAACUAACAAAGAGAAAGAUCUGACAUGACAAUGUAACAUCGUUUAACAAAAUAGCAGUCCAAGACACUAUGUGUAAAAUACAUAGACAUGAGUCAUGCAUGUAAUAUGUUAUCAGUUCCAUCCAUAAACAGCUACAGAGAUAAAACUGUACAUCUAUUAAAAAGCAGCGAGUACCUUUCUCGAGUAUGAACCAUAUAUGAUAUUAUCUCUGGACAAAAAGAUGUUGUUGCUACUAUUCUUUCUCCAGCAAUAGGACAUCAACCCUAGAAGCAGUCCUCCAAAAAGUAUGGCUUGUCUCCGUCCACCAUGUGUGCUCGCCUGCGUGCUUUGGAUCUGUUCUACUAUUCAAGGGAAAGCAACUCAGGUAUCACGCAAGCUCCUUAAUUAAGCAGUUCUUCAGUUAUUCUUCUGGAGCUCCCUAAGGAAGACGCUAGUGUAUUAUGAAAUCUGAAUCCCGCUAUGAUAAUACACAGGGUCUCCUUUGCUAUGGUAUCGGUUUUAAUUUGCAUGAUAAGAGAAUUAACGUAUCAUAAUUCAUAGGACAUGAUAUACCUAUCAAAUUUCAGACCUGAAUUGACUUGGACACAUCCGAAGCAUCUCACCAUCCCGCGUUGACCUGCACCGUAACGCUCAUAGUUUCGAGGCCAUGAGAUGUUACCUUCUGCGCUGAAGCACAGCUAGCGCCAAUCAGCAGGUAUAUGCAAAGUGGUGCCAUCUCACAAUCCGUGAUAAAAAGCUCGAGAAGAUCAUUGUAGUUGGCUAGCAGCAGUAGUCAAGAGAGAAAGGAGCGAGAUGGGAGUUGCACAGAAGAAAAGAAGGCUGACUUUCACAAAGAGGUUGAUCAAUUCCGGCUAGAUGCGCUAGCAUCUUAAGUAAAGUACAUGUAACAGAUGGAUUUCGUCCUGCCGCUUACGCUGCCAGUAUUUGGCUAGACCAAACCUGCUUGAUUACAUCAAUUACUUUACCUGCCAGCAUCUCGACAUCUUCUACCCAAUCCUCUCCACAACCUCAUGUUCCUCCGAUAUCCUCUGCUCUACACCUUCCCCGUUGACCUUGCUCAAGCGGGGAGAAGCAGGAACGCAUGGACUGUUCUCUGAUCUAUCACUUGAGAGUCCACCCACGUGAGGAGCACCCAGCCAGCGGCCGCCUCUUGCCUCCGCAACUCCAUGGUCUUGUCAGGAUCGAGAUGCCGCUCCCCGCAAGGAGCAGCCAACCAGCGGCCGCUUCUUGUCUCCGCAGUGCCAUGGUCCUUGUCAGGAUCGAGAUGCCGUUUUACUGCUGCCCUAGAUUGGUUUUCUAAAAUCUGCGCUAUGUCGUUUUUUCUUAGAUUGCAAGGAUUAUACGGGUGGAUCUGCACCUUAAUAAUUCGGUCCCACCAGAUUAACGGCUCGUAAAAUCUAAUUAACGUGGUAAUUUUUUGGGAGUCUGUAAUUAGUAUAGGUAUAGAUAGAUAGAUAGAUAGAUGCGCUAUGUUGUUUUUUCUUAGAUUGCAAGGAUUAUACGGGUGGAUCUGCACCUUAAUAAUUCGGUUCCACCAGAUUAACGGCUCGUAAAAUCAAAUUAACGUGGUAAUUUUUUGGGAGUCUGUAAUUAGUAUAGGUAUAGAUAGAUAGAUAGAUAGAUGCGCUAUGUUGUUUUUUCUUAGAUUGCAAGGAUUAUACGGGUGGAUCUGCACCUUAAUAAUUCGGUCCCACCAGAUUAACGGCUCGUAAAAUCUAAUUAACGUGGUAAUUUUUUGGGAGUCUGUAAUUAGUAGAUGUAUAUAGAUAGAUAGAUAGAUAGAAGGGAAUAAAAGGACUUUCCCAAACUUUCAUUUUUGCAUUUAUGAUCUCCAUGAAUUCAAAUUCAUUUCAUCACAAAACCCUAGAGAGAAGAUGAUAUGACUUCUUUCAUUUCAACAAAUGAAAAGGGUUUUUGAAAAUAUUUGAAUUUCAUUUGGAAAUAUUUUCGAAUUCGGAAACUUUAAGCAACUCAAUGAUUUUCAUGAGAGAAGAUAAAAUGACUUCUUCAAAACAUAUGAAAUAUGAGUUGGAAGUUUAAAAGAAUCAAAUUUAAAGUCCCUUUGAAAUUAUUUUCAAUUUGGAGUUAUUUGGGUUUUAUUCAAAUUAUUUCUCUCCGAAAAUAAAAUAUACAGAAAAUAGGGUAAAAUAUACGGGAUAGAUUGAUCACCAUACUGACUUACUCUUAUUAUUCGCCUUGCUAUAUGGGAUGGUAAAUCUGAGUGACUUACCUAUAGUAGAGAGAUGGCGAUAUCAAGCCUAAUUGAACCUUAGAAUGGUAUGACAAUUUUCCUUGUACAAGGCAGCUGUUGCCAAUCGUAGGUCAUACGGUGAGAAUGAAGCCCAGACCUGUUUUCUGCAGGGACCCAGUCAAAUUGUUUGAUGACCACCAUGAGAUAUCGAUAGUUGUUUAGUAUUGACGCCAGACCGUCAGCUAAGAGCUAAUUUUUUUUAAAUAAUAAAGUUUUUUAUUAAUUUUCAUAAAUAUUACGCUGGCUAAAAAAUUUUCAAAAAUAAUACACCGUCGGCCCGCUGCAGGCCGACUGGGCCUAGUCGGCCCACAGCAGGCCGAUUGGAUUCCAGUCGGCCUACAGCUGGCCGACUGGCCCCUGUCGGCCCACUGUGGGCUGAUUGCGUCCUGUCGGCCCACUAUGGGCCGACUGGAGCUAACUGGCUCGCUUUGGGCUAAUUAUUUUUGCAAAAAAAGUAGGCAUAAAAAAUAUAUAUUUAAAAAAUGUUAAUCAUGUAAUUAAAAAAUGUUAAACGUGUAUAAAAAAGUGUUCCUGAUGUAUACAAAAAAUGUACAAUAUAUAUGCAAAAAUGUUGACAUAAAAAUAUGUUUUGAAAAGUGUUAAGCUUGUAUUUAAAAAUUGUUAAAUGUGUGUAUAAAAAAUGUUCCUUAUUUAUACAAAAAAUAUAGAAUGUGUAUGAAAAAAAGUUGACACCAAAAACUUAUGCAUGUGGGUGGUACACUGUAUGAGACCGGUCAUCAUGUGGGUGGUCUCUAUGGCUAUUUGUAGUAUAGUUAAUAAGUCGUUUGUGUGUAUAGGAAAUGUUAGUGGCAUUGUUGUGGCUUAUUUGGCUUUUCUGAACUCCCUUCUUCUGAAUUAUGAACAAGACUUAUAGGUAACAUAUACAUGGAUCGAUCGAUAGUGGUUUAUCUCUUUCAGGCGCUCGGCCGAAAGAUCGUUCGUCUUUCUUCUUCUUUCCAGAUCGACUAGCUAACGUCCUCACUAGAUUGGUAUAUUUCUUUUGGAUCGCUUUCUUGCCUUUUGAGUUGCAUGCAACUGCGACUUAACAGUACGCUUUAUACACUUUAAUGCCAGCUAGCAUAUAAAUAGCCCAUCAAUCUUUUGACUAUGCACAAUGCAUACAUUUUUUUCUUGAAAAAGGAGGUUGAGACCCCUGGCCUCUGCAUAAAAAAUGAUGCACACAACCAUUUUUAUUGAAUUAUUAUUAAACACAGCCUAACAAAAAGAAGGGCAUCGCUAGCCAUCAGACUACUGGCAAUUGCAUCAUAUCCAACUAGUCCCAAGCCCUUGGAUGAAAUACGAUGAAUGUUCGAUCGGCUAGUAGACCAUGAGAGCAUCAAGUCACUUCAUGCCGGACGAUACAACUUGGGGUUUCUCAAAAUCAUCGCUAACACGGUGAUUACAAUGACAACUUAUAGGUUUAUCAGAAAUUAUGACAAGGGGCAAGAUAUCUCAAGAGUGAGAUUUUCUCUCCAACGAUGGAGAAAUGUUUUUAGGGCCCUCUCGGUGUGACAACAUCCAUCAUCGUAUGGCCAGACACAGGUGACUUGGUCACAAGGAUGUCGGAACAUUACAACUUGGUAGUAUUAAUGAUUGCCGGGCCCUGUCCAGCUGAGUACAGAGCGACGAGUUUGGCACUCGACGAAGAUGUUGCCGAGUUUAAUAUGGCUAUACCAGGUUUCUUUGAAACUCAGCAUAAAGGGCUAUUCUAGUAGUGAUAGUGCUUCAUGACGGACAUAGUCCAUAACUGCUAGUUGAUCCCAGAUUACAUGUUUCUGAACCGCAAACAAAAAUAGAAAAUAUCAUAGAAUACAUUUUGCAGUCAGAUGUUGAAAACUGGAAAUUGUCAACAGAAUGAGGAUAGUUUUUCAAUUGUGUAUGUGUAUUAGCUUGUAUACGCACUACCAACCGGGGUAUAAGUAGCUACAUAUGCAUGUGUUGUAAUUGUGUGUACACCAUGCAUCUUUUAAACUCAUGUAGUAUAAACUAUUUUGCUUACUUAUAAACUUUCCAAUAAAUGUAUUAAUGUGAAUUUGGUCACAUGUGUGCAUUGUAUCUGCAAAAGAAUUUUGGGCGUGCACCGACCUAUAGGGGAUUUCCAUCCACCACAUAAACAAUUAUUUACACUUUGAAAUGUGUUCUAAUAAAAUAUUACCUAUACUCUUCUAAAUGUGUGUUAGUCAUUUUGUUCCACAUAUAAUCCAAGGCGAACAUUUGUGGUGGUGUCCAAGGGAGCGACAUGCUCUACACCAUGUUUGACACAUAUAGUACAUGAUAUAGGCCUGGUCUACUAGAAAUCAUAGCAGACGUCACAUGCCAUGCCAUGAGCGCCUCAGAAUAAAUUUUUCACCUUGCAGGAUCUUCCAUAUAAGAGCACCAGACUGAAGAAGGUGGUGAUGUCGUCAUAUGCCAUGCCAAUGUCCAUGGGAGCAGAACACUAGCGGGGCUUCAUCGAGCUAGAAACAUUGCCUCCUUUCAUGGACUAUGACAUUUCAUCAAAAUUGGCGCAUCUACCGUUGUUUUCUGGAGCUUUUUCGUACCAUUGCAUGACGUCGGGGCGUGCUCAUCGAUGAUGGGCAGCGUGGCACGUUCUAUGAUGAAUGACCACUACUUCAGGAACCACCACCACCAGAUGAUGGCCACCCAAAUCCCGCCAUUGUAGCUCUACCAGCACCAACAACGACAGCAGCAGAUGAUGAUACAUGCGGGUAUAUAUCACGGUUUCAUGGUCGGGGCUGAGCCUAUGAGUGGACCGUUGUCGACGGUGUCACAGGAGGACGUCGUAGCCGGGGCUGAGGAACAACUACCCGGGGAACACCACUUCAACACCAGUUGGUGGGACCUCAUUGGUGAUGAGAUAAUCCAAGACAACAUAUAUACGUGUGUGCAGGAAUACAUUUGGAAUAACUAAUGACCAGACAACUAGUCGAUAUGUGCCAACCCGUAUUGGUUUGCGCCGCAUUUUAUUUUUCAGUGCCACCUUGAGAGAGUUUGCAUGCAUGGCAUGGCUUGGCAUGCCUCUCUUGUGCUAGUUUUUAAAUUAUGUGUUUGUUUAUUGGCUUGUAUAUGCACUACCCACCGGGGUUUACAAAGCUACAUAUGCAUGUGUCGUGAAAUACUAGCAGGUGUACAUCAUGAAACUUUUAAACCCAUAUAGAAUUAACUAUUUUGGUUAAUUAUAAAUUUUCCAUUAAAUGUAUUAAUAUGAGUUUGGUCACAUGUGUGCAUUGUAUUUGGAAAAGAAUUUUGGGCAUCCACCAUAUAAACACUUAUUUACACUUUGAAAUGUGUGCUAAUAAACUGUUACUUAAACUUUUAAAUGUGUGCUAAUAAUUUUAUUCCACAUCUAACCCACAGCAAACUUUUGUGGCAAUGUCCAUGGGAGCCACAUGCUCUACACCAUCAGUUUGACACAUGCAGCAUGUGACACAGGUCUGGUCCACAUGGUCAGUGUUGGUCAGCGCCUCCCACCGGUUUGGUCACAUCACGCGGCAUUAAAGCAGGCUGCUGCGACGCAGGAAGCUAAUCGGCCCGUUGGAGAGCUAUCACGGGAGGGUUGUUUGGUGGGACCUAGGUGUCGGACGCUUAUGUGAAGCGGCCCGGACGCCCGCGCAAAGCUCAUCCAGUUUGGUUCUGAUUUGCGGGAAAAACGGAUGUCCGGACCGGUCCGCGGAUGGAUGGGGUACCGCGUUUAGACCACUCAGUCCAGAUAGAUGCGAGCGGCUUGAGGGCCAACUUUGAAGAUGCGCCAUGAUUACUACUCCCUCCGUUUGGAAUUACUUGUCGCGAAAAUGGAUGUAUCUAGACGUAUUUUAGUUUUAGAUAUAUUCAUUUUUGAGACAAGUAAUUCCGAACGGAGGGAGUAGUAGUUAUUGAUGAGGGAUGGUUUUCCAUAUAAAUGUAGUUGGCUGUUGUUCCACCGCGUGUAUAGUGUUUCCAAUUGCUAAAUGUCGUUUGUUGAUGGACGGGAGGUAGGGAGAGAAAGACGUGACCAUCAGUUAAUCAUGUUGCUAUUAGAAACCAUGAUCAACCAUCAGUUAAUCAUGGUGCUAUUAGAAACCAUGAUCAACAUGCAUGUUGGGUUAUUUUUACAGGAUGGGUGCACAGAAUGGCCAAUAAGGAGGGAGCAAAUCAAAGAUGUUGGCAUAUACUCCUUCUAUUCCAAAAUAGAUGACUCAACUUUGUACUAACAGAGUAUAUAUAUAAACUAAACAUAUGUUAUGCCGGUGCAUUUGAACAAAAUAGAAUAACAAAUGUACACAUAUUUCAUCUUGACUUUGAAUUAUUGCCAAAUAGAAUAAUGAAUGCACACGCUUUGCAUUUGACUAGUUAUUAACUACAACAAAUAGCCAUAGCAGCCAUCCACGUGAUGACCGGUCUCAUACAAUGUUCCAUCCUCCGGGUGCUUCACGGCUUCUAGACAUGCAUAGCAAUGUUGAGUGUCGACACGAAUCUCCAUGCCACGAUAGGGACCACAAAUGUCCUUGCCCCUAACCCCACCUACAUAUAAAUUGACAUGAAUUACUAGCAAAAUAAUUAAGAGGAUAUGUAUGAGCUCGGGUUGGCGUAGAACUAACCAACUCCAUUUUGCCCUUCCAAAGAAACUAUGGAGGUGGGUAUACACGUAUCGCUGCCGCGCUCGUAAUAUACCUCCGCGAACAAUAACUCCUCCUUUGAAUUCUCCAAGCUGCUUUUGGCGGUGAAGUUUACAUGACCAUAGAAGCCUCUUUCAUCCAUGAUCGCCGUGCUAGUGUAUAUGGCUCUGACGAGCUCAUACUUGACCUAUAUAUUAGCAUAUAUAUGUUGAGGCAAAAAGGACGAAGAAGUUAAUUACGAAAAUUGCGUGUACAUAGACAUACAAAAAAGUAGGGAGCGAGGGUAAUUAAAUGUUUUUGGGGUACAUAUAGUUCGUACUACCUGGUUCUGGUCUUGGCUGUUGUAGUGGUCGAGCGCGGCGGUUAUGUACUCGUUGGUCUGGCGCUCGAGGUCCGCCGCGGUGAGACCGCAGUCGUCGUCCUCGUACAUGGCAUCAAAGGCCGAGGAGUCGCCACCGAUAUUGUAAGUGGGAACAUUACUGGGAUUUCUAGCCCAAUAAUCGUGGUAAUCAUCGGAGAGGCCAGCGGGAAUGUAAUCGGCCAUGCUCCCAUACCUUAUAGUAGGUUAAUAAUAAUUGGAUUAAUUAAUGAACGACUUUAGUCGAUGGAAAAGCUAGCUAGUGUGUACGAGGAGGAGGCAAGGCUUGAGGAACUUACUGUGGGUAGCAUUCGUACGACGGCGAGGUAGGAAGACGAGGACCCUCCUCGUCCUGGGGUUCCGGCGGAGGAGGGAUCAUCUUUGAAUUAUCGGGAUUUCUAGCCCAAUAAUCAUGGUAAUCAUCGGAGAGGCCGCGGUGGCCGGUGCGAGCGGGAAUGUAAUCAGCCAUGCUCCCAUACCUUAUAGGUUAAUAAUAAUUGGUUAAUUUGUGAAUGACUCUAGUCGAUGGAAAAGUGUGUACGAGGAACUUACUCUGGGUAGCACUCGUAGGACGGCGAGGUAGGAAAACGAGGACCCUCCUCGUGUUGGGGUUCCGGUUCCGGAGGAGGGAUCCUCUUGUACAGCACACCGCCGCCGCCGCCGCCCCCAGUAUCAGACAUGGACGCUAAGGAUUUCACUCGCCUCCGGUAGAUCCGAUCGGAACCCAAAGUGUUGCGAGAGAGAAAGAGGGGGUGCUAGUUUGGCUUAUCUCUGUAUAUGUGUAUCGAUCUAUGAAUCAACCGACCUAUCCGGUGUAUAUGUAGACGCGCGCGCGAACUGAUCUGAUUCCUGACUCGGAAUCGAUGAGAUCUCCGGCCGACUCCGCCUCCUCUACCUUUUUUCUCUUUUCCUUUUUUUCUUUUUUAGAACAACUCCGGGCCCUCUACCAAUUAAUUACUAACUAGGUUUUUUUAGGUCAUUAAUUACUACUGUAAUUAGUAAUCCUCUGCAGUGCAAUCGGGCUGGGCUGGGCCGGCCACCUGAUGAAUACGUCCGUGGCACAACAACAUGGUUGAAAGCAACAGUACGUGAAAUAUACAUCUAUCUAACUUUUCUUCUUACCUAUGACGAUUGCUUCUGACUAAAUAAAGCAGGCGAGAUUUCUCAAAAAAAAAUAUCUAACUUUUCUUUUUUUGCCGGGGGAAAGCAUUUCAUUAACAGACUAGAUAAAACAUACUUAUCUCACAUCUAAGUCCAUCCCCGUACGAUCAGUUUUGUGCUUGAUUUUUUGUGCGUUCCUCUGUCUGAUCUCCAUCGAGAGCCCGUGCCCACUCGUGUUGGCCUGUUCUUGUCGUUGUCUCUGCAUUUUUCUAUUGGCCUAAUGUGAAGCUCAUUAGUCCCGGUUUGUAUUUGAACCGGCACUAAUGUAACCAUUAGUGCCGAUCCCAACGGCUAGGCGGGCGGCUCACAUUAGUAUCGGUUCGUGGCUAACCUUUAGUACCGGUUCACGCCACGAACCGAUACUAAAGAGGUGGUGGCGGGCUUUUGUCAGGCUGGAGUCCCACUAGCACCUUUAGUACCGGUUCACGCCACGAACCGGUACUAAAGUUGAUGAUUUCAGGGUCAUUUGCUAAUUUUCAGCUCAUUUACUGAUUUUUUUAGCUAAAUGACCCUGAAAUUGAAAUGCACUACAAAUGAACUCUGAAAAGGUUAUAAGUUGGCAUGGUAUCAGCAUUUCACCCAUAUAGCAUGUGCAAAAAAGUAGAGAGGGUUACGACAAAAACUGGAUGCACUUCGUGUGCAAAAUGGACAAUCUCUUUUGAAGUAUCAGGGUUUCGGACGAAAACUCAUCUGUCACAAAGCCGUUUCAUUUUUUCACUUGUUAUAACUACAGACUUUUUGUGCGUUUAGUAUGCAUCACUCAAAGCCACGUCAUCAACUUUCUGACAUCAUUUGCUAUUUUUCAUGCAUUUACUGAUUUUUUUUGAGCUAAAUGACCCUGAAAUUGAAAAGCACUACAAAUAAACUUUGAAAAGGUUGAAAGUUGGUAUGGUAUCAGCAUUUCACCCACAUAGCAUGUGCCAAAAAGUUGAGAAAGUUACGGCAAAAACUGGAUGCACUUCGUGUACAAAAUGGACAAUCUCUUUCGAAGUAUCAGGGCUUCGGAAGAAAACUCAUCUAUUACAAAUGAGUUUCAUUCUUUUAAUUUAUUACAACUCCAGACUUUUUGUGCAUUUAAUAUGCACCAUUCAAAUCCACAUCAUCAACUUUCAACCCUUUCUGACGUCAUUUACUAUUUUUCAUGCAUUUACUGAUUUUUUUGAGCUAAAUGACCCUGAAAUUGAAAAGCACUACAAAUGAACUCUGAAAAGGUUAAAAGUUGGCAUGGUAUCAACAUUUCACCCACAUAGCAUGUGCAAAAAAGUAGAGAGGGUUACUGCAAAAACUGGAUGGACUUCGUGUACAAAAUGGACAAUCUCUUUCGAAGUAUCAGGGCUUCGGAAGAAAACUCAUCUGUUACAAACGCGUUUCAUUCUUUUAAUUUAUUACAACUACAGACUUUUUGUGCGUUUAAUAUGCAGCAUUCAAAGCCACAUCAUCAGCUUUCAACCCUUUCUGACAUCAUUUGCUAUUUUUCAUGCAUUUACUGAUUUUUUUUUGAGCUAAAUGACCCUGAAAUUGAAAAGCACUACAAAUGAACUCUGAAUAGGUUAAAAGUUGGCAUGGUAUCAGCAUUUCACCCACAUAGCAUGUGCAAAAAAUAGAGAUGGUUACGACAAAAACUGGAUGCACUUCGUGUACAAAAUGGACAAUCUCUUUUGAAGUAUCAGGGUUUCGGACGAAAACUCAUCUGUUACAAAGGCGUUUCAUUUUUUUUCACUUAUUACAACUCAGAACUUUUUGUGCGUUUAGUAUGCACCAUUAAAAGCCACGUCAUCAACUUUCAACCCUUUCUGACAUCAUUUGUUAUUUUUCAUGCAUUUACUAAUUUUUUUGAGCUAAAUGACUCUGAAAUUGAAAAGCACUACAAAUGAACUUUGAAAAGGUUGAAAGUUCGCAUUGUAUCAACAUUUCACCCACAUAGCAUGUGCCAAAAAAUUGAGAAAGUUACGGCAAAAACUGGAUGCACUUCGUGUACAAAAUGGACAAUCUCUUUCGAAGUAUCAGGGCUUCGGAAGAAAACUCAUCUAUUACAAAUGAGUUUCAUUCUUUUAAUUUAUUACAACUCCAGACUUUUUGCGCAUUUAAUAUGCACCAUUCAAAGCCACAUCAUCAGCUUUCAACCCUUUCUGACAUCAUUUGCUAUUUUUCAUGCAUUUACUGAUUUUUUUUUGAGCUAAAUGACCCUGAAAUUCAAAAGCACUACAAAUGAACUCUGAAUAGGUUAAAAGUUGGCAUGGUAUCAGCAUUUCACCCACAUAGCAUGUGCAAAAAAGUAAAGAGGGUUACUGCAAAAACUGAAUGCACUUCGUGUACAAAAUGGACAAUCUCUUUUGAAGUAUCAGGGUUUCGGACGAAAACUCAUCUGUUACAAAGGCGUUUCAUUUUUUUUCACUUAUUAUAACUCAGGACUUUUUGUGCGUUUAGUAUGCGCUAUUAAAAGCCACGUCAUCAACUUUCAACCCUUUCUGACAUCAUUUGUUAUUUUUCAUGCAUUUACUGAUUUUUUUGAGCUAAAUGACUCUGGAAUUGAAAAGCACUACAAAUGAACUUUGAAAAGGUUGAAAGUUGGCAUGGUAUCAGCAUUUCACCCACAUAGCAUGUGCAAAAAAGUAGAGAGGGUUACGACAAAAAAUGGAUGCAGUUCGUGUACAAAAUGGACAAUCUCUUUUGAAGUAUCAGGGUUUCGGACGAAAACUCAUCUAUUACAAAGGCGUUUCAUUUUUUUUCACUUAUUACAACUCAGGACUUUUUGUGCAUUUAGUAUGCACCAUUAAAAGCCUCGUCAUCAACUUUCAACCAUUUCUGACAUCAUUUGUUAUUUUUCAUGCAUUUACUGAUUUUUUUGAGCUAAAUGACUCUGAAAUUGAAAAGCACUACAAAUGAACUUUGAAAAGGUUGAAAGUUGGCAUGGUAUCAACAUUUCACCCACAUAGCAUGUGCAAAAAAAUUGAGAGAUAUGACAAAAACUGUAUGCACUUCGUGUACAAAAUGGACAAUCUCUUUCGAAGUAUCAAGGCUUCGGAAGAAAACUCAUCUGUUAUAAAGGCAUUUCAUUUUUUUAACUUAUUACAACUCCAGACUUUUUGUGUGUUUAGUAUGCACCAUUCAAAGCCACGUCACCAACUUUCAACUCUUUCUGACAACAUUUUCUAUUUUUCAUGCAUUUACUGAUUUUUUUGAGCAAAAUGACCCUGAAAUUGAAAAGCACUACAAAUGAACUCUGAAAAGGUUGAAAUUUGGCAUGGUAUCAGCAUUUCACCCACAUAGCAUGUGCAAAAAAAGUAGAGAGGGUUAUGGCAAAAACUGUAUGCACUUCGUGUACAAAAUGGACAAUCUCUUUCGAAGUAUCAGAGUUUCGGACGAAAACUCAUCUGUUACAAACGCGUUUCAUUUUUUGAACUUAUUACAACUCCAGAAUUUUUGUGCGUUUACUAUGCACCAUUCAAAGCCACGUCACAAAUUUUCAACCCUUUCUGACAUCAUUUGAUAUUUUUCCUGCAUUUACUGAUUCUUUUUGAGCUAAAUGACCCUGAAUUUGAAAAGCACUACAAAUAAACUCUGAAAAUGUUGAAAAUUGGCAUGGUAUCAGCAUUUCACCCACAUAGCAUGUUCAAAAAGGUUGAGAGGGUUAUGGCAAAAACUGGAUGCACUUUGUGUACAAAAUGGACAAUCUCUUUCGAAGUAUCAGGGUUUCGAGCGAAAACUCAUCUGUUACAAAGGCGUUUUAUUUUCUUAAACUAAUUACAACUCCAGACUUUUUAUGCAUUUAAUAUGCACCAUUCAAAGCCACGUCAUCAACUUUCAACCCUUUCUGACAUCAUUUGUCAUUUUUCAUGUAUUUACUGAUUUUUCAUGGCAGCAGAGUCCUGUGCAGGCGGAGGCAAAGCAGCUUGGGGCAGUGUUUGAACCGGAGGUGGAACAAACCUAAUCUCGUAUAUGCUAACUCCAAAGUUUAAGGAACUAUCUAUUUGACAUUUGACUGUUUUUCAAUUCAACCACAGUCAAAUUUCCCAACCAAUGAACAGAUGACACCUGUUUGUCCCAAAACCCCCCACCAGCCUGAGGAACUUACUGUGGGUAGCAUUCGUACGACGGCGAGGUAGGAAGACGAGGACCCUCCUCGUCUUGGGGUUCCGGCGGAGGAGGAGGAGGGAUCCUCUUGUACAGCACGCCGCCGCCGUCGCCACCGCUGGCCCCAGGAUCAGACAUGGACGCUAAUUAAGGAAGUGGAAGUGUAGAUCCGAUCGGAACGGAAGUGUUGUGAGAAAGAUAGAGGGGAUAUAUGUAUGACUGGGUUGAGAUCUCCAACUAGUUUGGCUUAUAUAUGUAGCGAUCGUCUCCGGCGUAUAUGUAUAUGUAGACGCGCCAACCGAUCUGAUUCCUGAGUCGGAAUCGAUGACAUCCCCGGCCGACUCCGCCUCCUCUACCAAUUAAUUAUGGACUACUCCUAGGUACGAUUAACUUAGUAUAAUCCUCUACCAAUCGGGCGCCACCUGAUGGAUACGCCCGCCCGGCGCCCCCUAACUCCCUAACUUGUCCCUGACAUUGUUUUUCUUAGGAAAAGUCCCUGACAUCGUUCAGAGUACGUUUGAAGCAAAAGUAUGUGAAAAAUACAUCUAUCUAUCUGAAAGAUAAAUACAUAUAUCUAUCUAGCCAUAAAAAGCACAAUGUGCAUGAGUAUGAGUAGCAAAAAAAACAGCCUCCACGGCUCCGGUUACUAGGGAUCAAAUGUUUGGUUUAGGACUAAAAAUCAACCUGAUCUCAAGUUUAAGCUCUCAUUCGCUUUUGGUGAUAUUUCCAAACACGUUCUGCAGUAUCUGCAUUGUGUAAGGUUUCAGGUUUGGGUGUUGAAGGACUCGCACACCUCCAAGGGUGCGGCUCAGCUCUUUAUAUAUUGCCAAAGGGUAAUACAAGUACACGUUAUAUAUGGUAUGUAAAAACCCUAUCGAUAUACAAUACAAAGUCUAACACCCUUUCAUUUUUUUUUGUAUUUCUACUUUAUGUUUACCUGUUAUGGAUCUUGACACGAUGUUCGUCUCACCUUGAUUAACCUUAUCGUAAACAUUCUGCAUUCCAUGCGUUCACACUGAAAACCGACGUUCCUUUUCGAUCUCUAUUUCCAUGAAGAGGAUUUUGCCUCCUUCUGUAUUUCCCUCUAUCCCCACAAAAGCUAAUAUGUUUUAGCGUUUGACUCCAGAUCUGAUGCAAGAAUUUCGUUAUGUUUUCACCCCUUCCAUGUGCCGUGCGGUCUGCCCUUGUUGAUGUCCGCUUUUGGCCCCAUUUUUCUUCAUUUUUCUAACUUAUAAUAGAAACCAUCGCUCAUGAUAAAACUUUGUAUAGGAGGACAAAUUUAAUCUUAUUCUUUGGGGUUGAGGAAUUACCUUCAUCAUUUGUAAUGUGGGAUAAGGUACUCUACUAAUUAAUUAAUUAGUACAAAGUAGUUCGUGUGUGCCACUUUGAGGAGGGUGUUGGAUGAUAGGGGCAUCUAACAACCAAUCACAAACCUCUUCCCCCCCUGAUUUUCAGUGGGGUGGGCCGUCCCGCUCACCUGUUGGCCAAUGAAAACUAACCCACCCUGUAAAAGCCUGUAAACUGUUUGUACAUGUAGCAUUGCCGUACGUAGCGUGCCUGACCCACGCCGCCACCAGUAAUAGACAUAUGAUGGUGGUGAGCCACGUGUCACACGUCACCAAUAAUAGAAUGCACUAGUGGUGUUGGAUGAUAGGGGCACACCAUUAAUAUGAUUUCCAUCAAUAACAAAAUGCCACAGCAUUUGCAGCACAAAUCAAAAUGCUAAUUUUGUUCUAUUUUGAGUUGAACACUAGUACUUCAAUAUUUCUAGCAUGCAUACACCAUGUUCUAAAAACGUUCAACAAGUAACAACAUGCCACUUACUUCAUGGGCCUAGGAAGGGUGAAGCUAAUGGGAGAGGCGACUGCGGGGGCGACGGCAGGGGCAACGGCCGCCCAUGCACGUUCCCCGUCCCCAUGCCUCGGCGUUCGGCGGUGAGUCGGAGGCCGCUUCUGGGCGCUCGCCGAUCAUGAUGCGGACGAUACGAUGGGGAGGCGGAUGCAGACUCGCCGGAGUCUUCACCGUCGACGACGCCUUCUGAUUUGAUUUGCGAGUUUUUUGAUUUAGGUUACGGUGAGGAGGAGGUGGCAUCGACUUUAGACAAAGUGCUGCCCCUAGAUGAUCUGGCAAGGGUAGGACUACACGUGGGGGAGAAGAAGGAGAUGAUCCGGCGAGUCGUUCAUCAGAGGACGGUGGCGACGGCGACCAGGCCAUGGAAGGGCCUCCUCCCCAAGGUAUGUCUACCAAAUCUUACUCUUUUCGAUUUGAUUCAUCCGGAGUCUUGGACGAUGGUUGUGAGGAGAAAGAAAGGUCGCUGGGCGAUGGCUGGGCCGUAGCCGGCGGCGACCGUGGCGUCAGCGCCGGGAAUCAGGCGAUCGGGAUCAGAGCUGCCCGGUCGCUUCGUUUGAAUGAGUUACUCGGCCAUGAUGGGCUGGUGUUGGGUGACAACGUGUUGGGCUUGGCUAGGACUGGGUAUGAGGCCCAGGUCCCCAGCCCUUCGGGGUCUUUUUUGGGAGCCUCGGCCAUCAAGAUCGAUGGCAUUUCAGAUCCAGCGACUUUGGAAGCCUUGGCCUGUCGCGAGGCACUUGAUCUUGCUAUGGAUCUUGACCUUGCUAAAAUCCUCAUAGCAAGUGACUGCCAAGAGGUGGUGAAUGACAUAAAAAACUGCACUGGUGGCGUCUAUGCUAGUACCAUUAGAGAGAUAGUGGAGUCAAAGAAUACGUUUGAUGAUUGCUCCUUCAUCUUUGAGGGGAGGGCAACGAAUAUUGAGGCACAUAGUCUCGCUAAGCAUGCUUUUGGUUUGGAUUUCGGGCGCCAUGUAUGGCUUUUAAACCCUCCAAACAUCUCUUGUAUCCCUAUGAACAUUUUUGAGUAAUUAAUAAAGUGUGUUUAGACUCAAAAAAAACCGGUCCGUCGAUGCAGCCCUCGACAUGCAUGCGAUCGAGUUGAUGAGAGGGUUGACUAGUCCUGCUAUCUCGAGGCUGUUUCAUACUCCCUCCGUUCCAAAAUAGAUGACCCAACUUUAUACUAACUUUAGUAUAAAGUUGGGUCAUCUAUUUUAGAACGGAGGGAGUACGUCGGAGGCGGCUAGGGUUCGCCGGGUCGCUGUGCGGGGGUUCCCGAGGAUCGGAUUCGGGAGGGCUCCAAGAGUUCGUCCUACUGCGGCCAUGGCCGGUCGGGCCGCUGGCCCUCCUCCCAAACCUGCGCCGCCCAAGCCUAAGGUCGCGCCGCCGAUGCCCGGCUUGGCUCCGCGGCAUGCGCCGCCGCCCAAUCAAGUUGCGCCUCCGCCGCAGAGCAGGGCGGGGCUUACAGAGCAGGCGCCCACCCCACCGCCGCUUUAUGGGGGCCAGCCUCCUGCGGCUAGGGCCGCGUCGUCGGCGCAUCGACGAGGUGGCAACUCAUGCCAGCACCGCUUCCCAACGUACCGAGGCAGGGAGGCCACAUAUGGCGGCCGUGGUCACCCCCCCCCCUUGGCCAAUGUGGUGACGAGGGAUAUGACGCGUAUGGCGAAGGUCAUCAUCGCGGUUCGCCGUCGGAGGGCGGUGGACAUGGAUAUGCAUGGCAAAGUGACGGGUCGAUAGACCGUCCGUUCUACGGACCUCCGGGAGGCUUCGUCGAGGGGGCUUCUGGUCCGGACUACAGGCAGAGAGGUGGCUUCCGUGCUCAUCGUGGUCGCCGCGGUGGUGACCACGGAGGCAGAAACCGUCAUCGUCAGCCUCCGCCACCCACCGCUACUGCGACCGAUGUUGCGGAGCCAACGAGUUCCGCGGACGUGGUAGCGACUGUGCAGACGCCAGUGUUGUCAGGUCAGGCCAUGGCCGCGGUGACGGCACUGGCUGCGGCAGCGAUACCUGAGGCAGGGCCCAGUGCGGCGGGUACUGUCAGCGGGCCCGAGAAAUCGGACGGUGAGCGAGCUUCCAAGUGGGCCCGGAAGAAGGAGAAGAUGUUGUGUUAUCGUUGUGGUGAGCAGGGGCACUUUAUUGCAGAGUGUGUGACUGAGCUCUGUGACGCUUGCCUCAAGCCGGUGCAUGAGACAGGGGAAUGCCCGGUUCUGCGUGAACCAAUGCCGAGUGUUACUAUAUAUGGAGUGUGCUGCGCUGAGUUCAUGUUCUUUGGGUCCCCUAGUGCGAGGGAGAUCCCUAAGGCGCCACAGUGCACGACCACGGGGGUGGUCAAAGUGACAAAAGGUGUUUUGUCUACUCACAGAUCAUACAGAGGCUGCAUGAGCUGGCACCAGGGAACUUUCAGUGGGAGCUGAUUAGACUUGAGGCCAACAUGUACAAGGUUGAGUUUCCAACUACUGAGGACCUGCAGAGACUUCUGAGUUUUGGGUUGUGCAGAGUCCCUGGCAUCGAGUGUACCCUUGAGUUUCAUGAGAAGAAGAAGGUCGAGCGGAAGGGCAAGCCUCUUACUCAUGUUUGGUUACGGUUCUCGGAGGCACCAUACAAGCCUCUGAAUGAUGUUCGGGUCGCAACCAGCUUGGGGAAUCUUCUUGGGAAGACCAAGCGGGUGGACAUGGCCUUUACCCGAGCUAACGGGGUGGCGAGAUUGCUAGUUAGUGUUCUGGACAUUGAGUUUGUACCGAAUGUGGUUAAGUGGAAACGAAAGAUUUAUCCGGCUUCGGUUGUGCGGAAGUGGAAACGAAAGAUUUAUCUAGCUUCGGUUGUGCGAAGAAGUGCUAGGAUCCGCACCUCUAAAAUAUGUCAUGAUGAAAUAUGAGAGGAAUUUUUUGGAAUAGUAGAGGUCUUAAAGACUUGGCUAAAAGAAGGUUUCUAGCGGGUGCGUCUAUCGAACACCAGUUGGAUUUUAUCGCCCUCUCCGAAAUGGGGAGGGACAAUUUCACACCCCGGUUCCUUAGCACUUUAUCAAGAGGUGUCGAUUUCGACUGGCAUUGCCUUCCUCCAAGAGGAAGGUCCGGUGGGAUCUUACUUACGGUUAAGUGCGAUUCGUUGGAAGUUUGGAGUGUGGUCAUGGGAGAUUUUGCGGUGAAGUUUCAGGUCAGAUCAAAUGCCGAUGGGUUUAAUUGGGCAUUACUGGCGGUGUAUGGUGUCGCGCAGCCAGAACUCAAAGCUGAUUUUUUUGGCUGAUCUUGUCCGUAUCUGCGGUAGCGAGCAGCUCCCAAUUCUGGUUGGGGGCGAUUUUAACAUUAUUCGAAGGAGGGAAGAAAAGAAUAAUGAUAAUUUUGACGGCAGAUGGUCGCUUAUGUUUAAUACCAUAAUCGAAAGCUUGGAUCUUAGAGAGACAGAGCUUUCUGGUAGAAAAUUCACUUGGGCUAAUACAUUGCCAAACCCGACAUUUGAGAAGCUGGACCGUGUCCUCGCUAGCGUCGAAUGGGAGCAGAAGUUUCCCCUGGUAACAGUCCAAGCGCUAUCGUGCGCGAUCUCCGACCACACCCCGUUGCUCGUUGACUCUAGCGAGGCAACCCAUGUAAGGAAUAAAAACACUUUUUCGUUCGAAUUAGCAUGGUUCGAAAGAGAAAGGUUCCUGGAUCUGAUAGCAAGGGAAUGGGCUAAAGAUUCAUGAGGGAGGUCCCCUAUUAAAAGAUGGGAGAAUAAGAUAAGGUAUCUAUGAAGAUUCCUUCGUGGGUGGGCUAAGCAUAUGAGUGGGAUUUAUAAGGCUGAAAAGAAAAGGCUCCUUGUACUUAUUCAAUCCUAGAUUUAAAAGCCGAGUCCACCAUUUUAGAUACCAGGGAGUUGGAAUCUAAAAUGGAGGCGGAGAUGAGACUGAAAGAACUACUUCAAGAGGAGUAAUUGAAGUGGGCUUUGCGAGCUAAAGUUCGCAAAAUCAUCCAAGAGGUUAUAAACGGGCCGGCCAGCAGCCAUUCGCCGCCAUGACGAGGUCACACACGUUUUUUCUUUUGUUUAUAUUUCCAAAAUACUAAUUACGUAUACUUUAGAAAAUAGUACUAAUUAAGUUAGUUUUCUUAAAGUAUUCAUCGCACAUUAAAAAUGUGUUCACGCGGUAUAUCGAAAAUGUUGCCUCGACUUCCAGAAAAUGCUUGUACAAUACAAAAAAAAUGUAUAAAAAGUUUCAAACAUUCUGAAACAUGUCAGUGCCAUUUUCGAAAAAUGUUAUACAAUGUAAAAAAAAGGGUUUGCAUAUUUUUUUUGAAAAAUGUUUCAUAUUCAGAAAAAUGUACAUUACAUUUUUAAAUGUUCAACACUUCAAAGUUACGUUUGUGAUUUUCUUUAAUAUAUUAAUAAAAUUUUAAAAAAUGUGUACAUUAUUUUUCCUUUAAACUCCACUCUCCACUUUCCACUCUCCAACAAACGGAAACAGUUGCCCUCCACAUAAAACUCCUUUUUUAUACAUUAUUUCCCCUUUAAACCUUUUCUAUGUUGAAUCUACACCGUUGAAAGCGGCAUGCUCAAGCUUGAACAUAACAUGUUCAAGCACUUUCCUUAUUUACAAGACCUAUGGCGGGCGCAAACUGCUGCCCGCCACUGCUAACUUUGAUUUUGUUUGGAGAGUUUGGGUAUUGGUUAGCAAAAUAGUAUUUUCACGGGAAUUUCUCAUGGCCCACCACAGAUACGUUGAGAACCAGUGGCGGGUGUGUCGCCUCACCCGCCACUAUUGUAUCCCGACUAAUUCUUUGAAAAUAUAGGAGUGGCGGGUGAUGGUUACUGCCGACCACUACUGAUGAUUUAGCAGUAGCUGAACCUUUUUCCACCCGCCACUGAAACUUCCCCAAAAUAAUUGUGGCGAGUUUCAGUCUCUGUUCCAACCACUAAUGUGACCUCAUCUAUAAGCCUUACCUCAGUAAUGGCAUGGCAUACGGGUCAGUAACCCAAAACUACAUAUAUUUUUGGAAAAUACUACAAGUCAACACUAUUUAUUGUGAGACGCAAGCUACCAUUUCUAGUAGACCGGGCCUAUGUCACAUGUUGCAUGUGUCAAACUGAUGGUGUAGAGCAUGUCGCUCCCUUGGACAUCGCCACAAAUGUUUGCUCUGGGUUAGAUGUGGAAUAAAAUUAUUAACACACAUUUAAACGUGCAAGAAACAGUUUAUUAGCACACAUUUCAAAGUGUAACUAAGUGUUUAUUAUAUGGUGGAUGCCCAAAAUUCUUUUCCAGAUACAAUGCACACAUGUGACCAAAUUCACAUUACUAAAUUUAAUGGAAAUUUAUAAUUAACCAAAACAGUUUAUAUGGGUUAGGUAAACGUGCAUAUGUAGCUAGGUAAACCCCGGUGGGUACUGCAUAUACAAGCCAAUACACAUACACAUAAUUUCAAAACUAGCACAAUAGAGGCAUGCCAAGCCAUGUCACGCAUGCAAACUCUCUCAAGGUCACACUGGAAAAAAAAGUGGCGCAAACCAAUAUACGGGUUGGCAUAUAUUGCUGGGUUAUCUUAUCAUCAGUACUUCCAAAUGUAUGCAUGCACAUAAGUAUAUAUGUUGUGCUGGGUUAUCUUAUCAUCAGUACUUCCAAAUGUCAUCCAUUCCCAUGUUCCUCAAUGAGGUCUUGCCAAUUGAUGUUGCAGUGGCGUUCCCCGGGUAGUUGUUCAUCAGCCCCGGCCACGACGUCCUCCUGUGACACCAUCGACAACGGCCCACUCAUAAGCUCAGCCCCGACCAUGAAACCCUAAUAUGUGCCCGCAUGUAUCAUCAUAUGUUGAUGUUGUUGUUGGUGUUGGUAGAGCUGCAACAACGGGGUUGGGGUGGCCAUCAUCUGGUUGUGGUGCUUCCUAUAGUAGUGGGCAUUCAUAAUAGGACGCACCACGCAGCUCAUUAUAGAUGAGCCAGCCCCGACAUCAUGCAACUACUACAAAGAAGCUCCAGGGAAGCCAAUGUCGACGAAAUGUCAUAGUCCAUGAAAGGUGGCGAUAUUUCUAGCUUGAUGAAGCCCUGCUGGUGUUCUGCUCCCUGGACAUUGGCAUGGCAUAUGACGACAUCACCACCUUCUUCAAAUUGGUGCUCUUAUGGAAGAUCCUACAACGUGAAAAUUUUAUACUAAAAAUUUAUUCUGAGACGUAAGCUCCCAUUUAGACCAGGCUAUGUCAUGUACUAUAUGUGUCAAACAUGGUGUAGAGCAUGUCGCUAGCUUGGACACUGCCACAAAUGUUCGCCCUGGAUUAGAUGUGGAAUAAAAUUACUAACACACAUUUAGAAGUGUACGUAAUAUUUUAUUAGAACACAUUUCAAAGUGUAAAUAAUUGUUUAUGUGGUCGAUGGAAAUCCCCUCUAGGUCGGUGCACACCCAAAAUUCUUUUGCGAGCACUGCUACACACACGAUAAGUUUUAGACAAUCUGCGAACGAUACACAACAUCAGCCGUUCAUGUAUGGAGAAGAAGUUGAUAGCACCGUCCAAACCUUCCAUCGUCCAAAGCUCGUGCGGGCUACUGUUCCAAGCAGUAGUUUCGUUCUUUUGCAGAUACAAUGAAGACAUUAAUACAUUUAAUGGAAAAUAAUAUAUGUAAACAAAAUAACCAAGCCUCUAUAUCCGGGGAUGAUUUCGCUUGGACGUUUCGCCACUUGUGUGAAAAUGACUUGCUGUUAAUCUGGUGUUGGACACGUGCAUUAGUUUGGUAGGUGGAGGGGUAAGAUCUUCUUGUGGAUCUAACUGUCCCGUGAAAAUUUUCUUAACGUGAUGUUCAACUAUUCGUGUGGAUCUAGCGAUUCUGUUGGAGAUUUGCUUCCCAGGUCAAACGGCUGGUUUGUCGUGUCAACCACAGGAUGGCGCUCUCCCGCCUCACCGAGGUGUGCGCUUUGCUCGGGACUGCAAGUUCAUCGUCGACAACCGCGACGGAAACGUGCAGUACACCCGGUACUACGGCUGUGACGCCGCCGUAGCCUAGCCGCCGACCUCGACCUAGACUGGACGUUGUGAACUCUGCCGGGGAGCUACUAUCUCCGGGAGGGCGUGCUGGACCUCGAUGAGGUAUACGGCGUCCUCGACAGGGCCUGGUCCAAGCCGCGUGAGGAGACUGCCCUUCGCGGGGAUCCAACCGUUGCAGCGUCCUCGAUCUCAGGUUCGCACAUUUCUCUCCUUCUAUAAAGCUAUGGUACGCAAUUUGCGUACCCUCGAAAAAAAAAAGAUCUCAGGUUCGCACAUCAAUUUGUUUUUGUCUUACCCGACCGGCCUGUGAAUCUGUGAUUGAUUGCGCCGGUGCUGUUCCACCUGGGGACAGGGCUGUGCGUGGUGCGGCGGUAGUUGAUGCAGCCGCUGGACUUGGGCCCGUGCGCCCACGCUUGCAUCUCGGUAGUUGAUGCUGAGCGUACGCCCACGCUUGCACCAGCGGCACCUAGCGCUGCGGGACAGCCUGCUGAUGUGCCUCUAUGUGCAGUGCGCGGGAUGGCGAGUACACAACGGUUGUCUCUUCCUCACUCUCUAUCCCGUGCGGCCUGCCGUCCGUGCUGUGUUGUUUGCGUGCAUGUGCUGCUUGUGCGCUCCUGCUAUGUCGCGCGUGUGUGUGUGCACUGUGCUGGUUACUGGCUUCGUGAGUUCGUGUAAUCGUUGCCGGCGUCCGUGCUCUGUAGUUGUAUGCGCUGUGGACGACGAUGUCGCCCCUCUCGCUGCCAACGUAGAACCGUAGAAGCCUCUCUUGCCGAAAGCAGCACUGGCAGGCUGUACAUCUUUGUAUUUAUUUACUUAUACGAGCUCAAAGGUUCUUAUAUUAACUACAAAUUACAUGUGCUUAUACUUUGUACUACUAUAUAUCCUUCUAAGUAUGCCAUGACACACAAACAUGGAGAAUUUUUUUAAAAAAAAAUCUCUAGAGCUCAGCAUAAUGGCUCUCGGAAAGAAACACAUUGGCUCUGGCCAUUAUAGUUCAUGCUUUACUAACAUAUGUGUCACUUGACUACAAUUAAUAACCGAACCAAUUCCAGUCAAAACUAUUUAUUUACAAGAUUUAUAUUGUAACCCAUUUUUCACCAGUUCUCUAUACUUACUAAACAGUAUGGGUUUACCCACAUUCUCAUAUUUGUUGUAUGUAGGCAUCAAUACUAAAAAUACAGUUUUACCCUAUUCUCAUAUUUGCUGUAUGCAGGCAUCAAGUUGUGAUGAAUUUGGAAGACACACUAUUAACUUACAUAAUAAGAUCCUUAAGGGUAAAAAACGCAAGCAAUGGCAAGGUAUUAACAACCUAUUUUUCCCAUGUUGCUUACUGAAGGUGAACAAUAAGAUGCGUUUUAAUGGCCCUCUCGACCUGCUGUUUAUUUUAUAUUUAGGUCGGUCCAGAUUUUAUUAUUCAUAUGAAAACUGUAAAGUUUGUACUGUCAUGUUCUAGCUGUUAAAAUGCUUACCGUGUCAACAGGACAAUGCAAGGUGUUGUUGCGAGUUGUCGGUUUCAGUAUUCAUUCUUUUCUGCAGCACAUCAACUUUACAUGGACAUCUUACGUUUUUCUCCUAGUGUUUGAUUUUGAAAUCUUACUUUUCUCUCCCAGUUUAUAUUUCUGAGAGGAAAAAACUUACUUUAUUAAUCAAAAUUUGUAUGCGCGGCCUACCUGGUUUAUACUACAAUCACUGUACCUUUUCUUCAUUGUGUGAUGUGUUCCCAUCUCACUAGUUAUGUUUCUCUGUGUUGUAUAUUUGUUUUUACUUUGAAUGUUAUGAGACAAUGGCCAGUCUAAAAGAUCUGGCUGAGAGGAUGUUUUUCAAUUGCUAUGUCAUGAAUGCAAGUUAGUCACCAGUCAGACAAAAAAACUGCAACAGAUGGUCGUACCUAUUGAUAUUUCUUCCUAUACAUAAACAUUGGUAUUUCCAGUUUUAUACACAAACAUUAUCUCGAUGUAUAGCUGAAGUCUAUAUGGUCAUAAAUGACUGAUUCAGGCAUAAGUCCAUGCACAUUAUUUGCCCCAUGUAUGAACUCUAUCAUGUUAACUACUAAUAUGACACUCCCUCGGUUAAUGAUGCCUUUAUAUACUGAAACUAACGGAAGAAAGUUAUCAUUGUAGCAUGCUCUUUGUUGUAUAGAACGGCGUGGCAAGAAUAAAUGAGUCUUAUUGGAGAGGUCGCAAUGUGUAUUUCUCUAUGCCUCUUUCCAGUUUAUCUUUCUACAUACAGGGUUCUCUUACCUUAAACCAGUAACAUUUGUUGUAAAUGGACACAUCGUAUCGAUAAGCAUUAGGCGCGGCGUGCCGCCACGUGGGCUAAGCUAGUAGUUUAUACUAUAUGGGUUUAAAAGAAGUAUGGUGUACCCACAUUUACAACACAUGGAUAUGUAGCUAGGUAUACCCGUGUGGGUAGUGCAUAUACAAGCUAGGUAUACACCAAUUGAAAAACUAGCACAAGAAUGGCAUGCCAAGCCAUGUCAUGAUUGCAAACUCUCUCAAGGUCACACUAACAAAACAAAUGCGGCGCCAACCAAUAUGCGGGUUGGCAUAUAUCGACCGGCCGUCUGAUGGAUGAUUAAUUUAUGCAUGCACACACAUAUAUAAGUUGUCUUGGGUUAUCUGAUGAUCAAUUCUGCCAAAUGACAUCCAUACCCAUGUUCAUCGACGAGGUCUCGCCAACUACUGUUGCGGAGGUGUUCCCUGGGUAGUUGUUCCUCA
rnacentral:lncRNA from 1 species